rnacentral:lncRNA from 1 species
AAGAGACUCUUUAACAACAUUAAAGAGAAAGAAGGUUUUAGAGAUUCAUUACCCUUGAAGCUCAUCAUUGUUUACACAAGGGAUUCACCCAAGUGGAGGGCCUUCAAGUCACCUCCUAGCUCUUUGGAACUUCCUUGUGAUUCCUUCCUUUUUUAUGCUCCUUUGCUCCUUGAGGAUGUGAGGAAAGGAUCUCCAAAAACACUAAAGGUUUGGUGUCUCUAAGCCUCCACACCAAGGAUGAGGUGUGAAGAUGAUAUGGAUGACUUAGAGAAGAAAAGAUUGCUAGCUAUCUCCUCUCUAAGUGGCCGGCCCCCUUGUAGAGAAAAAGAGAGAAAGUGUUUCACCUCUUUGCCUCAAAAAAACCCUAAUGAGGUAAAAGCUAUAAAGAUGCUUUUAUAUCUCUUUUCUUAGGUGAAUGGCAAACUUGCAAUUAAGCAAAACUUCCCACUACCCUUGCUAUGGUCGGCCAUCUUAAGUGAUUGGGCUAUUUGCCCAUAUUUGUUUUAGUUGUCAUACAACUUAAACAUAAUGGGCCUAGUGGACCAAACCCUUUUGGACCCCGAAGCCCAAAACUAACUUAAAAGCCCAAUACGAACCUUUCAUAAAAUUAAUUAACUAAUUAAUUAAUCUUGACCAUUCUCAAUUAAACCAUUUAAUUGCUUAUCCAUCUCAUUUAUAUUUCUUCGCUUUCAUCCUUACUCGGUGUACGAUCCAUUAGGUUCCAAUUAGCGAGGCAGUGGGCGGUUAUUACUCUUAACGAUCGAUUAUGAAUUGAAACUACAUUUCAAUUCUCCCUUUGAUUAAGAUUAGUUUUUGCUAAUCUUCAAGGCUUCCACAAACCAUGAGUGACACCUAGCAGCAUGUCAUGGUUACCCAAGCUAAGUAGAAGUGGUUGGAAAACCUAUCCAUUUACAACUACAACGCAAUACGGUUCUUCUCUAAUACAAUACUCUUAAUCACAUUGUUUGAGUGAUAGUUUGUUUCAUGUCUACUAUCCAAUGUAAUACUUCUCUAUAUGAUUCAAUUGAAUAUGAUUUAGAACAUACUUCCUAAGUCAUAUUCGUUUGCUUUGGCCAAAGACUCCCGAAUCAUAUCUUAGAGUAUUCUCCUUCCAUCAUGGAAGGUUAGAGAUCCCUUGUUGUGCAUUCAUAUGCCUACAUGACUAGAUAGCUUGACCCCAACAAUGCCGUGGACACUCUCGAUGGAAUGCCUUUGACAUGAUUAAAGAUCAAGGACCUAACCAUUAGACAUCUAUGAUGCCUCAAGUCAAAGGACUACUUUGCAUAUUGCAAUUUAUGAGUUCUUACAUGACAUGUAUGUUCGAACUCUAUUUUGAUCAUUGUUCAGUGUACUUGAUUACUCUUUCAAGCACCUAUGUGUUUGUCUUAGUGUCCAACACUAAAUGACUUGAGAUUAGUCAUACUCACACUUGAGUUGACAUAACACAUACUAACCUUAGCGGAUUGUCAAUGCCCAAUUAGCAAUAACUAUGGCUAGGAACGUUUUAGGAAUGAACAUAAGAGAAAGGUCUCAUUAAUCUAACUUACUUAAAUCACUUCUCUCUUAGAUCAAAUACAUUCCUUGGAUUCCCUUAUUGCUUAAACACAUGAUACAAUAAAUAGUGAUUAACAAUAAGCUUUGCCCUUCAUUAAACAUAUAAUAGUUUAAUACAAUAAGUAUUCCAAAAGCUAUUACAUCAAAUGAGUGGCUUUGUGGGCAUACUUCCAACAGACACUUGAUUUUGAAUCGGACUUGUGAUUUCCUCAAGGGCCGUCGAGGCUUGAUCUCGAAUUUGGCUGGAAGCUUCUUCAAGGGCCGUUGAGGCUUGAUUCUUGAAGGUUGACUCGAACACAUGGCAAGCAGGCACGAGGUGAAGGUGACGACUUGUUGCUUUGUUCAAUCUUUCUAAUCCACACCUGAGCAGUUUGGUCAACGGUAUGAUCUUCAAGAUUGAUGGGCUCUUCUUCCAGUUGGUGACUUGAUCUUUAAAGAUUUGAUUCAAGGGUGGUGAAUCGGUACGUGCAGCCCACAACGCUGAGCGAGUCGACCCAAGAAUUUGAGGGUCAAAACGAGUCCUCCACCCAGAGUGAUUGCAACCUUGAUAAUAUGAGAUACUUUUGAUUUUGAAGAAGUAGCGGAUGAAUCGGCACGUGCUUUAUUGUGCUUGUCUCUACAUGCUUCAAUGUAUCAUUUUCCCUUGCCUUAUCUGUUCUUCUGGUAGAUGUGGUAUCUUCUCUGGAAGCAUAAGAUGUUGAGACAAUGGGUACUUCGAGAGUAGUGCUAGGUAAGCAAUCAGGGAAGGGUUCCAGGCAGUCGGUUCCAGAUCGGAAGAUUAAUACCAAGUGCUGGCUGAUUGCUUUCUUUCUCCUUGUCCCGCAGGUAAGAACAAGGACAAAGAAAAGGACAGGGAGAAAACAUGAUAUGAAAUACUCUUGCUUUCGAAUAAGUGGUGGCGAUUUGACAGCGUUGCAUAGCGAGGCUCUGUUCUUCGACGAUGGUGCCGUCAAUAUGUUGUUGAAGCUUCUCGAGCUCUUGGAUUCAACUCAGACCCCUUCUUAUCUCUAAUUCUUCAACUCGGACUCCUUCUGCUGAGUUGAUUGUGCAUGCCGCAUUUCCAUAUUUGUUCUCCAGCAGAUGUGGCAGCUUCUUGAGUUCCUCAACUCAGACUCCUUCUGCUGAGUUGACUGUGCAAGCUGCAUUCUUCUCUGCUUGUUUCUUCUGCACUUUGUCUCCACAUGCUGCAAGGUAUCGUUUCACUUGCCUUAUCUGUUCUCCAGGCAUAUGUGGCAUCUUCUUCGGAAGUACAUCAGCAGCUGAAGACGAGUACUCGAGAGCAAUGCCAGGUAAGCAACCAGGCAAAGGUUCCAGGCAGUCGAUUCUUUACCCGAGUUUGAGUGGAGGUUCCGGCAUAUUUCUUUCUUUAUCCUUGUCUUUGCAGGUAAGAACAAGGACAAAGGAAAGGAUAGGGAGAAAGCAUGAUAUGAGAUACUCUUGCUUUCUACCUUGGUGAUAUGAGAUACUUUUGCUUUGGUGUCAUUUGUUUGCAGAGGUACCCCAAGGAAUAAGGAACACUGAGUGACUCGAGAGGCUUUGUUGGGAAGGCAUUCUCGGAGAUGAAGAAAGGUUAUGUAUGUCUACCUUGCUAUGGAGGGUGAAGGUUGACAUUUAUAUGGAUUAAUAACCGGUACUGUUAUUUCACUCUUGUCAGCAACCGUUAGAUGAUUUAACGGUAAACUUCACGUGCUUUCUACUUCACAAGAAAUCUUCGACAAAUUGCCCGUAAUUUCCGCACAGCUGAGUGUGCAUGUGACAGGCGCUGAGACGUCUGGAAAAGUAAGUGCCUCUUCGAUAUCUGGAAUCGGCGCUUCGACAAACUGCCAGUGAUUUCCGCAAAGCUAAGUGUGCAUGUGACAGAUGCUGACACGUCUGGAAAGCAGAUGCCUCUCCAAUUUUUGAGCUUGCCUCUUCGAGUUCUGAGCUCCGUUGAGUGCAGAGGUUGCAUGUGACAAGUGCAGACAGAUCUGGAGAGGAAGAUUGGCCCGUGGUUUCUGAGCAAGCCCAGCUUUUGAGAAAGCUAGCACCUCUUCGAUUUUUGAAUUGGCCUCUUCGAAUUCUGAGCUCGCCUCUUCAAUCUCUGAAAUCCUAUCGAGUGCUGAUUUUUUAUAGAGGCACGCAGUUCGUUUCAAAGCACACUUGAAUUUUCGCUUGUAGAAACUCCCUUCUUGCACUUCUAAGAUCUUGAUUUGUCGACUUUUUCUUUCUUCAAUACCUUUGAAAAUGUCUGGCCCCUCCGACCGUCGUUUUGAAUUGAACCUUGAUAAAGAGGUAGCUAUGCCUUCCCCAGACAAUAUACGGCGUCCAUCCUUCAUAUCCCCUACUGGUCCUCUUACCGUUGGGGACUCGGUGCUGAAGAAUGAUAUGACCGCUGCGGUUGUGGCCCGGAACCUUGUCAUUCCCAAAGAUAACAGACUACUUUCCAAACGGUUUGAUGAGUUGGCUGUUAAGGAUUCUCUGGCUCUCAGUGUGCAGUGUGUAGGUUCUGUGUCUAAUAUGGCCCAACGUCUAUUUGCUUGAACCCGUCAAGUUGAAUCAUUGGCGGCCGAAGUGAUGAGUCUCAAACAGGAGAUCAAAGGGCUCAAGCAUGAGAAUAAACAGUUGUACAUGCUCGCACAUAACUAUGCUACAAACAUGAAGAGGAAGAUUGACCAGAUGCAGGAAUCUGAUGGUCAGAUUUUACUUGAUCAUCAGAGGUUUGUGUGUUUGUUCCAACAGCAUUUGCCUUCGUCUUCUAGGGCUGUACCGCGUAAUGAAGCUCCAAAUGAUCAACCUUCGGUGCCUUCUCCUCUUGGGGUUCUGCCUAGUACUGAGGCUCUGAAUAAUCACCCUCUGGUGCCUCUUCGACCUAGGGCUCUGCGGAUUGCUGAGACUUCUCCUGAGCAACCUUUGUGAAGGUUUCCUCUUGUUUGUUUAUUUUGAUUUAUUAUAUGUACAUAUUUGUAACUUAUUGGAAAUAUCAAUAAAUGAGCUUUAUUUCAUUUAGUGUCUAUAUAUACAUAUAUAUUUCAUAUGAUGCUGAUCCACCAUUCAUUUAUAUAUAUAUAUAUAUAUAUAUAUAUAUAUAUAUUAUUUUUUUAUUUAUUAUUAUUUUUUUUUUCUUUUCUUUUCUUGCACAUGGUGCCAGAUGCACCAUCCAUUAUAUAUACAUAUAUAUAUAUAUAUAUUUUUUUUUUUUCUUGCACAUGAUGCUAGAUGCACCAUCCAUUUUUUUAUAUUUUCUUUUCUUUUCUUGCACAUGGUGCUAGAUGCACCAUUCAUUUUUUUUAUAUUUCUUUUCUUUUCUUUUCUUGCACAUGGUGGUGCUGAUCCACCAAGAUUCCACCAUUUCUUCUUCUUUCCAGAUUGGUUUGUCCCCUUUCAUUUUUUUUAUAUAUAUUCCCCACAUGGUGCAGAGAGGAAAUGCAGAGGAGGACGAGGACGGACAGAGAGCUGCAGUCGAGGCGACCGACUAGUCGUUUAAUGGCGGUUAUUGAAGUUCUUCGCCAUUGCUGUUUGCCACAGACGGAGAGCUACACUCGAGGCUUCAUGACCGACUAGUUGUUUGACGGUGGUUAUUGAAGUUCUUCGCCAAUGCUGUUUGCCACGGAUGGAGAGCUAUUGAAACUGCCGUUGCUGUUUGCUAUAAGGGACACCGCUUGCUGCGAAGGGGAGUAUCGCUCGUUGUUGAUGGUUCCACCGUGUUUCUUGUUGUAGAAGCUGAUGGGCAGAAGGGGAAGGCUUGUAGAGAAGGACGAGUGAGCUGGGGUAAGUCCCGACCAUUUAGUGGAGCUGCCAGAGCCGAUGGCUUCGAUGACGGCUGCAACGGAAACGCUUAUCUUCGUUUCUGCCAGAGGAGGGUGCUGGAGUUGUAGCUGAGGCUAGUGGAGCACAGCAAAGACAACCCUUUUCGAAUGCACGGGGGAGAUGGCGUUUAUGGCUUUAACGCCGAACACGCAUGAGCCGCAGGCGAACUUCUUCAAAUCCUUACAGUUCUACGUGACGCGAUCAUGCUGAGGUCGGUGAUUUCCUGGCAGCCGGUGAGGAGGAGGAUACAGAGCUAGUGGCAACCGAGACCAACGAUUCACGAUGCUGGCCCAGGAGCUCUUGGACGUCAGCUUCCCCAUGUUGGAGAGGAUGAUCUAAGAUGUUGCUGUGCCGUGCCGAGGAAAAGAUGACGAGAUGGCGCUGUGCCAUGCAGAGGAGAAGACGAAAUAGCUGCAGUCUCGCAACUCCCUUGCUUCGUUCAUACUUGCCGCCAGCUGGUUCACGCACACUACACAUGUGUCGCAGUCGCUGCCGCAUGGUGAUCAAGCUAUGAUUUAUCGGCAGAAGUGGAGGGCAUGGAGAGGUUGAGGACAUAAGUUGUGUUGAAAGAGGAGUCAUCCAUCCAUAGGAGUACAGCCUUCUUGGUGUUAUUGCUGAGCUCGGAGGAGAGGGUGGAGUCGAAGCUUUUGAAGACUUUCCGGACCUCAUCGAUGACGAUGCUGGACUCGUCGUCAUGAGCAGGCGGCAGAAUGGCGGUGGGGAUCAGGAGGGAGAGCCAAGCGAUGAUGAAGAAAAACAGGCUGACAGAGAUUGCUGCACAUUGCUGUUCGCUGCGCUGCUGCUGAUUACUGCACUACAUGUUUGGUACUGUUCGCUGGGAUGAUGGCUACCCACUACUUGCUGGGAUGAUGGCUGCUCCCCGCUUGUUGCUGCCUUGCUUGCUCAGCCAUGCUCCAGCCCACUCGAUUGGAAUCGACAGCAAGAACGUGAUAAAAGUUGAGGAGACCCACCAUGUUGUUGCAACAAGGUUUUGAAGUUUAGGAGGUUUUGUCUUCCGCUGUUGUGGACUGAUGGGGACUCGAAACCUUCUGUUGGUCUCCCUCUUUGAUAGUAAUCUGUCGCUUUCCAUAACCGACUUAUCACCUCUCAACGACAUCUCCAUGGCCCUCCUUCUUGAGCUGCAGAGCGACUUCAAAGCCGGGGUAAUCAAGUCAAGGUGCCUGUUUCUGUUAGCAUUGACGCAAUUAGCAUCGGCAGGAGCGUCGGGCAAGAGCUGACAACCUCAAGUGAAGCAGUGGAACCGUCAACAGCUAAUCGAAUGACGGGUACUCCAGCUUGCAUGAGAGUCGUGGCCUGGUCAGUGAUGGCUACUGUCUUGGAAGCUUUGACAAAGUUGACUUGUGGGCUCAGAGGGAAGUCGACUUCUACUUGGGUCUGGUCCUGGUCCAUGGAGAGGUAGUCGGUUCCUGUUUGGAGUUUGACAAGCUGCCUCACAAAUUCAUGCCCAAUAAAAGGAUUUGUCCUGAUUGCUGCACCGACUGGAUUUAGGACUGAUUUCAUCCAUUUUGGCUUGUGGACGGCGUUUAAAAUGGAGAGAUACCCCACUUUGAUAUAUAUAUAUAUAUAUAUAUAUAUAUAUAUAUUUUUAAAUUUUUUUUUACAAAGAAAUUGUAAUAACAUCAAACUUUUAAUAAAAAUUUUAUUCUUUAUUUUGAUGUGACUGAACUCGAAGUUGAAUGUUCGAGAUGCCUACGUACCCUUCUAAAGAAGAGAUCAAGUCAUAACGUAGUUCAAGUGGGUGAUUUUUUUGGAUUUUUUUUUUGUGCUGUACGCAGUUUAUGCUCUUGCGGACCAUGAGCAUCUUGGUGCUGUUUGCAGUUUCAACUCGUGCAGGCAAUGAGCGUUUGGUGUCGCCUUUUAUGCUCGUGCAGACAAGGAGCUUUGGUGUUGCCUUUUAUGCUCGUGCAGACCAGGAGCUUUGUGCCAUGCAGUUUAGGCUCGUGCAGGCGAUGAGCUUAGUGCCAUGCAGUUUAGGCUCGUGCAGGCGAGGAGCCUUGGUUGUAGAUUUGUCAAGCGAUCUUGGAGAGUCGUUCCUCACAAUCUUUAUAGAAAGGAGCCUUGACUGAGUAAUUGAAAAAGUUUUUGGGCAAGAAGUCGCGCAUCGUGAUGGCAACGAAUGAUCUUUGUGUCGUAAUUUCAUCAUCCUCAACACUUUCGUGUAGCUUUGAAGGUUGACGAGAGCUGUUUUGCCCCCUUUUCAAUUGGUGAACUUGUGGAGGAAAUGUAUGCUUCUUGUCCAGUUUCUUUGGAGUAACAUGCGUCCAUCCCUCAACUUUACUUUGCUUUGACUGGCAUGGUUUUAGAGCAUGCCCCCAGCGAUUGAGGUGAAGAUUUUGAGUCGACAGAGCCAUAAGUGAUGGUGGUAUAAUUUGACUUCACCACAUCGUCAAGAUCUAGCUCAAUGAUUCCUUUUUUAGCCAUCUUCAUGAUGAGAUAUUUCAGUACGAAGCACUUUUCCGUUGGAUGACUUAUGAAACAGUGGAAUUUACAGUACCUUGGACUGUCAGUACGAUUCAUUUCUUCCGGCCGUCUGCACUCUGGUAAGUCGAUCACCUUUUUGCUAAGCAAGUCUUUUAACAUGGCAACCACAUCAGAGUCGGGGAAUGGAUAAGUCUUCUCCUCAAGCUCCUUCAAAGUACGUUUACACAUCUCUUGAUCACGAAAAGCUUCGGCUUGAAUCGCCUUGCCUCGUGUAGAGAUUUUGACCGGAGCUAUGUUGACCAUCAUUGCUUCCUUAGUGGAUUUCCACGCAACCUUCUCCACCUUUUAUCCUAAGAGCUUUUUCGUUCUUGUAGUCGGCGAUCGGUUCUUUCUUCCCAUGAUAAGCAAUGCUCAACUCCAUGUCAUGGGCGCGGGUGGCUAACUCCUCAAAGGUCCGUGGUUUGAUGCCUUGAAGGAUAUAGUGUAAUCCCCACUGCAUGCCUUGAACACACAUCUUGAUCGAUGAGGUCUCCGAAAGUCUGUCUUUGCAGUCAAGACUUAGAAUGCGCCAUCGGUUGAUAUAGUCCACGACUGGCUCAUCUUUCCAUUGCUUCGUACUUGUCAGCUCCAGCAUGCUUACAGUGCGGCGGGUGCUGUAGAAGCGAUUAAGGAAUUCUCUUUCCAAUUGCUCCCAGUUGUUGAUGGACUCAGGCUCUAGAUCCGUGUAUCACUUAAAGGCGUUUUCUUUUAGCGAGCGCAUAAACUGCUUGGCGAGGUAGUCUCCUUCCGUCCCCGCGUUGUUGCAAGUUUCGACAAAAUGUGCAACGUGCUGCUUUGGGUUUCCUUUUCCAUCAAACUGUAUGAACCUUGGUGGUUAAUAACCCCUUGGCAUAUUCAGGACAUCAAUCUUCUUGGAGUAUGGCUUCGAGUAGAACAAUGAGGUAUGUGAGCUCCCAUCGUAUUGUGCCUUGAUGGUGUUAGUGAUCAUCUCUUGCAGCUGCUGGAUAGAAAGAGAUCCCAUGAGUGCCGUUGCUUGGUCUGGCUCUGGCUUCACAUCGACUUUAUCCAUCGGAGGCUCUUCUUCUUCGCCAGCUCCUCUCUUUAGAGGAUCAUCCUCUAGGUCAGGGUUCUCGCCGUCCUGUGGCUCCAGUCGGCUGACGAGUGCAGCGAUUUGCAAGUUUUUUUCUUCCAUAAUCCGUGUUAGCCUUACGAUCGCUUCAUUCAUUUGAGCCAGUUGUUCUUCGAUGGAGGUAACGCCGAUGGUCAUGACUUAUGCAACCAAUAGACAUAACUUUCUUUUAGACAUCCAGGAUGCUGAUGAAGAACAUCGUUGGCUACUUUGGGAUGUCAUCUUGUGUGCCUCAUCAGCAUGCUUCGAUGCCCCUAGCGAGGUCAGGUUGAUGACGGACUCGAGCUUUUGAUGUUCCCUUUGCUCCUUUAGUAGCACCAACUUUGAAGUGGCAUGUUGAAGAGCGGUUGUGGUGCCAAUGGAUUGUCCGUUCGCGGCAGAAGUGCUCAGGAUCCUUCCCUUGGUGGUUGUGAGAAUGGCUUGUCCCUUGCUUGAUGCCAUUGACUUUGAGGCGUGUUUGGAUUCCUUGAACGAAGAAAGAGAUGAGAGGUAGAGAUGAUAUCACCGGGGGUGCCAAAUUUGUAAACACGAAAAUUCCUGAAACGAACGAGACAAGUGAAGGAAGAUUUUGUGAAAACAUGUCCAUUUGAGCAACAUCAUAUAGCAUGCAAUUAACAAUUAAAGGCGGAAUCAUGCUUGCAUGCACUCAAAAACAAAACAUCAACCAUGAAAUUCAAAGCCUAGAAGAUUGGUGAACCAAGACUCAACUCAAAUCAAAGUGAGUUGAAAUUUAUACCUUUGUAGAUUCCUCUUUGCAUAAGCAAAGGCUAAUCACCCAAAGAGAGAGCCUUCAUUCCUUGCUUCUUAAAUCUAUGGAUUUGGAUGGAAGAAUAGGUUUCUCCAAGUUCCCAAAAUAGAGAACCUCUAAGUAUCUUCACCAAGGUUAGAUUGGAAAAGAAAUGAGUGACCUUGGAGGAGUUGGAUUGCUAGCUGAUCCCUCCAAGGGGGCCGGCCUCUUUAGAGAGAAAGGGAGAGACAUGUUCUCUCCAAUUCUCUCCAAAAGAAAACCCUUAAUGAAUUUAGGCUAUAAAGUCCUUUAUAUAGUCCCUUCAAAUAAGUGACCUAAAGAACCAAAAAGCCAUUCUCUCUAACAUGGCCGGCCAUAAGGGUUUUAUUGGGCUUUUGGGCCUUUGUGAAUUAAGUUGUCAUACAACUUAAGUCAAUGGGCUUGACGUUCGAAGUCCAUUGGGCCUUGAGGCCCAAAACUAACCCUUGGUCUUUUAACGAACUUUAUUCGUUUGAUUAAUUAACAUAUUAAUUAAUCCUUGCCAUAAAUUAUUAAAUAAUUAAACCAUUUAAUUAUUCUUACUCAUCUCCAUUGUUUCUUCAAUCUCCACCUUACACAGUGUACGAUCCAUUAGGUUCCUUUUAGCGAGGCAGUGGGCGAUUAAAACCAUUUCAAAUCGAUUGUGAAUUGAAACUUACUUUCAAUUCUCCUUUAGUGAUUAUACACGUUUAGGGCUUCCACAAACCAUGAGUGACACCUAGCAGCAUAUCAUGGUUACCCAAGCUAAUCAGAAGAGGUGGAGAACCUAUUCUGUUUAGGAUUACAAAUGCAAUACGGUCUUUCUCUAAUACAAUACUCUUGACCACAUUGUUUGGUUUGAUAGUUUAUUCAUGUCUACUAUCCAAUGUGAUUUGUGUGCUUAUAUGAUUACCUUGAAUGUGAUUUGGAAUGCCUUCCUAAAUCUCAUUCAUACUCUGAUAAGAGAUUUUCAAUCAUAUCAUAGAGUAUUCUCCCCCAAACCAUUUGAAGGUUAGAGAUCCCUUGUUGCGCAUUCACUUGCCUCCAUAGCUAAGUGGCUUAACCCCAACUAUGCCGUGGACACCCUCCUGAUGGAGUGACUUUGACAUAAUCAAAGAUCAAGGACUUAACCACAAGACAACUAUGAUGCCCAGGUCAAAGAACUACUUUGCAUUAUCCCAACCAUGAGUUCUCAUGUGACAUGAAUAUGAGAACUCUUCGUUGAUCGUGUUCAGUGAACUCAUUCUCUAUUGAGCACCUACGUUCUUGUCUUGAUGUCACACACACCAAUGACUCGAGACUAGUCAUUCUCCCUGAGAGAAGACACAGCACGUACUGAUCUUAACGGACUGUCAAUGCCCAAUUGGCAAUCCUAUGAUCAGGAACGUUUAGGAUGUGUCUACGAAAGAAUGGUCUCAUGAAUCUAACUUCUUUAGAUUGCAUUCUCCCAAUCACAUAUUCCUUGGACUUAUUGUUUAAGCAUAUAACAUUUAUAUGAGACGGCUCAAACAAUAAUCUUUGCCCUUUAUAUUUAAACUACGUUAGUUUAACUUGUGAAAUGUCCGUAAAGUAUCAUCAUAUGAUUGGUUUUAGGGCACAUUUCCAACAACAAGAACACGUGUACAAAAUAAUAUUUUGUAUUGAUGAUUUAGGGUUACAAUCUCUCUCAAAUUUGAUCCUCUGAUUCGAUCUCCGUAAGGUGUUGAUUUGUGGAUGUGCGAUUUAUCCAAGGGCCGUCGAGGCUUAAUCUUGGAUGAACGGUUGAAAGUUUUCUUCAAGGGCCUUUAGGGCUUGAUUUUGAUGAACAGUCGAUGAAUGGAUCUUCAAGGGCUUUUGGGCUUUAUCUUGAAGAACGGUUGGAUAUGUGGAUUUGUUGAUGUUGUUGAUCCAAAGGGCCGUUGAGGCUUGAUCUUAGGAUGAACAAAUGAUGAACGAUGAACGCUUUCUUUAAGGGCCGUCGGGGCUUGAUCUUGAAUUGGGGGAAGUUCCUUCAAAAGGCCGUUAGGGCUUGAUCUUGAAGGUUGGGUUGACGAAGAACGAAGAACGAAGAGAGCUUUCUUGAUCCUUCGGGAUUUGCUUGGGAGCUUGGGAGUUUCAAAGCUUCAAGGUUUUAGUGUGAGGUGAAUUGGUUAUCACUUGGUUUUUUUUUUUUAAAUGAAUGAAAUGGCUUCUAUUUAUAGAAUUUUCCAAAGCCUAAUUUUGAAUAUAUUAUUCAGAUGAAAUAAAUCGUUUCUGCCAGGUGUUGACACGUGUCCUGUUUGAUGACUUUUCUGAUGAUUCUCGAUUUUUUGUUGAGCCACCUGCUAUGUGUAAAAUUUAUGUGACACGUGAACAUUGAAAUUUUAAUUAUUGAUCAACAUUUAUUUCAUCGAAAUUUCGAUGUCUACACUCAGCUUAUGCGAUGCAUUCCAGGAGUACUAAAAUGUAUCAUACUAUUCGACCUUACUACUACUGGCCAGGAAUGAAAAGAGAAAUUAUGGAGUACGUGAGUCAUUGUCCGGUUUGUCAGCAAGUCAAAGCAAAAAGAAAGAAACCAUUCGGGUUACUACAACCACUUCCCAUACCUCAGUGGAAAUGGGAAGAUAUCACAAUGGAUUUCGUGUACAAGUUACCUCGUGUACGUAAUGGCUAUGACGGUAUUUGGGUGAUAAUAGAUCGACUGACCAAGUCUGUGCAUUUCCUACCUAUACGUGAGAAGUACCCGUUGAGUCGGUUGGUUGAACUGUUCGUCAAUGAAAUUGUCAAGUAUCAUGGUGUUCCAGUUUGUAUCAUUUCUGACCGGGAUCCCAUAUUUACUUCAAAAUUUUGGGUAGCUUUUCAAGAAGCACUAGGUUCGAAAUUACUCUACAGCACCGCCUACCAUCCACAAACUGAUGGGCAAUCAGAAAGAACUAUUUAGACAUUGGAAGAUAUGAUGAGAUUUUCUGUCUUGCAAUUCGGAGACAUAUGGCAUAAACAUUUACCUUUGAUAGAAUUCGCCUACAACAAUAGCUUUCAGUCCAGCAUUGGUAUGUCACCAUUUGAGGCGCUUUAUGGGAAACCAUGUCGUACCCCGUUAUGUUGGUCCGAAGUCAGCGAAAGAGUUUUGGUGGGCCCUGAAGUCAUGGAUGAGAUGACACAAAAUGUUUAAGUGAUAAAGGCUAAUCUAAAAGCAACACAGGAUCUACAAAAGAGUAUAACAAACAGACUUUCGACCGAUAGAGUAUAUAACGUUGGAGAUUGGGUUCUUAAAGCUAUUGCCAUGGAAAAGCAUGGUACAUUUCGGGAAGAAAGGAAAGGUAAGUCCUCGUUACAUCAAACCUUAUUAGAUUAUCGAGCGAGUUGGUGAAGUUGCUUACCGACCUGAUCUACCUCCAGAGUUGUCAAGAAUGCAUAAUGUGUUCCACGUGUCCAUGCUAAGAAGAUAUGUCUCGGAUCCCUCACAUGUGAUUCUCCCUCAGCUGUUAAAGACUAACCCAGAUUUGACUUAUGAUGAGGUUCCAGUGACGAUUCUUGACUGGAACAAAACCGUCUGUGUGGUGAAAGUCUUAUGGAGAAACCACUCUGUUGAGGAAGAUACCUGGGAGACAGAGGAGCAUAUGUGAGAUCGUUAUCCACGUUUGUUCUUUGACAGAUCUUUAGUAGUGUUGAAAUUUGGGGAUAAAAUUUUCUUAAGUGGGUAGAUUGUGACAACCUAUCCUUAAUUUUCUAUGUAAUUUUCUCCCCAAGUGUGUAAAAUGAUGUUUAUGUCCUUGUUGGUAAGGUAACGUAGACGUGGUUAUUAGACUUUAAAUUCUUUUUCUCGUUAUCUUAAUUAAUUAGUACUCGUUGUUAUGAGUGUGAGAGCGCGAGUUAGGCUUGAAUCGGACUUGUAAUGAAAAAGUUACACUUAGUUAAAGUGUGUUAACAAUGGGUAGAUUUGUACACCUGUGUACUAAUAUUUCAGUGUUGGAAAUACUAUUUUUGAUAGGGUACGUUAGAUUACGUCGGAUUUCGAAUUAUACAAUCUUAUCACUUUUUCUCUUUAAAAUCUGUCCCAUGCCUUAUUCACCCUCCCCAACCAAUUAAUUCAUUUCCCACACUUUCUCCCCUAAUCAGACAUCCUCCAUUUUCACCUAAUCAAAAAACCUCUAUCUCUCUCCACUCUGCCCAAUCAAAAGCUGUCUCCUUUUCUUUUUGUCUCUCUUUCUCACCUGUCACUCUAUCUUCUUUGCAACACCAAGGACCAUCAUCAAACUCCAUAGAUCGAGCCUAAAAUUACCAUCAUUGUGCUUCACUCAUCUUCACGAACCCAUCCGUACCAACCGAUCAUGAAAUGGACAAGUUUUGAGUGUUCAACUCGGAGCUCCGACUCAGUUGUCCAUUCUUCGACGAUUUUUUGUUUGAUUUGAACAGUCUUGGGAGUUUUGGAAUCAUCUAGGAAACUUCCCAAGGCAAUGCCUAGUUUUGAAGUGGAGCCGAUGAGGAAACCCAUGGUUUUGGGACGUCGAGUUUAGGUCUGAAGCUUUCAGGGAUUUUUCAGCCCUUUUCCAGGUUCUUUUUAGACUCUCAAGAGGUACAAUCUUAUUCUCCUCAUCAUGGGCUUUAAUUCCAUAUAAAUUUCGUUGAAAAUGGUUAAGAAUUAACAAAGUUACAGAGUUUUGAAAUUGAUGUGGUAGAAACUAACACACAAAUUAAACAUAUAAAUUAUGCAAUCGUAGUACGAGUAAGUAGGGAUCGUUCUAUUCCGGGGAUUGGAAGAGAUGCUAAUCAACACAAAUUAAACUUAUAAAAUUGAAAACUAAAUUAAACUAACAACAAAACAGUCACCAGAGGAAUUUUGGACGAAUUUAGUCAAAACAAAAGUAAAGUGCAGUAAGUAAAUUAAGUUGUGAAUGAAAUAUGGAUGAAAUGAUAGCUAAAGGAUUCUUCUCCACACAUGAAACAUAUGCAUACAAAUCGAUUUCUAGUUAUUCUUCCUAUAAACCAUGAAUGACUUUGCCCCAAAUUAACUGUGAACAACACUAAUUAACUCUCAGAUUUUCUUAAGUUUAUUGAAUUGGACUCAGCAACACAACUAAAUUAUUCUUCUCAAGUUCCCUAACUAUGAAAAGCAUGAUAGAGAUAAAUCUCAAAGAUCAUUAAGUUCUAUGAAAAUCAUAAGCAUUGACAAAGCAUUUGUAUCUAUAAAAGACAUGAUACUCUAGCCAUGAAUUUACUUAAUUCAAUCAUGACUAGUGACUUUUACUACUUACAAAUAUAAGUUCAUAGCGAUUAGGUGAAAUUCCCUUAUAUUCUAGCAUUAAAUCCCUGCAUGCAAACUAAGUGUGCACCCUUAACAAACAUACAAGAAUAAGUUCUCUAUAAAGCAGAUAAGUGAAUUGCAUUCAUAUUUUAUGAAACAAUAACUGGAUGUAAUCAAUUUAUAUAAAACAUAUGAUCAUGGCCUCGAAUUCACUUCUAGCUAAAAAGAAACUUAGUUACACAUGUUCAUAAUAACUAAAAAACAAUCUAAAAUAAACAUUGAAACUUAAAACAAAGAGAGAAAGAACUUUGAAAAUUCCAACAACUUCAAUGGAUGAAUGGUAGGCAUGGCACACCCUAAAUCGCUAUAGGAAUUUAUAUAUAUAGGGGGAAUGGCUGAAUCCAAGGAGAAAAGGGAUUAGGUGUUUUGAGUUAUUUUAGGACUCUAAAAAUCAGGUAGAGAGUUUUGGAAUGUGAUUACAAUUUCUCAUUGCAGCUGGAGAUAAGAUAAAAUUGGAUAAGAUAAGAUAAGGUUGGAUAAGAUAAGGUAGGAUAAGAUAGGAUAAGAUAAUGUUUGUCUCCAACUAGGAUUCCUUUUUCCUGUGUAAUUCCUUGGGUUCCAAGCCUCAAGUUUAAUUUCUCCAUAUUUUAGCACAUGUCUAACACCUUUUAAACACCAAAAACGUCCAGCUGAUAUGCUAUCCACGUCUGCUAUCCAAUCCAAGUCCAAAACUGCUCCAAAUUGCUCCAUUUUGCCAUUUAUUGUCAUCUUUACCAACUGGACCUACAAUAAUACGAAGUAAAUGCAAAGAAAUAAGAUAACAAAAAAUGCAAAGAAAUAAGAUAACAAAGUCGCAUAAAUAUGCUCCUAUCUGAAUUUUUUUUCCAAAAACUAGCGAGUUUUUCUAGAAUCUAAUGAACCAAACUGCAGCGCCAGUGCCAGCAAAUGGCAAAGGUCAAUCGGAGAAGACAAAGAAUAUUCUGUUAAAAUUAACGAAAUAUUUUGACGCCGUUAGGUAAUGUUGUUAGAUUUAACGGAAUAUUCCGUCAGAAUCUAACAGAAUAUUCCCUGGAAUCUGCCAUUUUUGCCAACGUGUGACAUGCGUGUGUGCCAUGACCUGGCGGCGCGUGAUGGCACGUGAGGGCACGUCGGGCCACUAGUCAACGUGUGCUUAACGUGUACGGGUUUGUGACGUUGAGUAGAAUGUUUUGGUAUAUUUAAACCUUCCGUUUGAGCAAACUAUGGGGAAUUUUCCUAGCCUUUUAGUAUAUGUCCUAUAUAAUUAUUAGUUUUAGUUAUUAUACAUAUAGGUGAGACUUACCACAAGGACGUAUAAGGACAAAUAAGGCUAGGAAGCUAGGAUCCAUUGACUUAUCAGUGAGUGGGCAUUUGUUUUCAUUUAUAUAUAUAUAUAAACUUUAUAGUUUCCACAUAUGUUUUUGGAUUGAUUUAUGUCUAUCAUGCCAUGUUUUAUUUAAUUUUAGAAAUGUUAUUACGUGGUUGAAAUUUAUAUACUGUCAUGGCAUGUUCAUAUGCAUUUUACUUGCUCAUCACACAUUAAUGCACCCGGUGUUAGUGCUCACCUAGGACCAGGGCCAGUCUUUCAAGUGUAAGUUCACAUCCGCACCGCACGCUCGUCUUGGAUCCAAGUAGGUGCCAGUCCUGUCGUACAGGUUGCAAUAGGCAACUCCGACUCAUAUGUAACCGUGAACAUGUAAGAUCUGUUUUCUUAAUGUAUUUGGGUAGUACUUGUCGCUACGAACUUGUGGGCACAAACAGGACGCCAUUUGGAGUUAUAACGAGAGAGUUAUUAAUGUUUAAAGAUAGGGGUAUUAUUGUAAAUUGGCCCUCACCUAGAAGGCUCUAGCAAUUUUAGAGUAGUAGGAAACUUGCCACGUGGGUGGCCAGGAUAUAGAGUUGAGGAGAAAAAAAUGAGAGAUGAGGGAACAGAUGGGCCAAGGAGGGAAUGAGGUGACCAAUCAGAAACAUAAGAAAGGAGGGGAAAUGAGAGAAGAAAAGGCGCGGGGGGGGGGCCCGUGUAACCCGUCGGGCACCACCCACACCGCCGCCUUCUCGACACUUUCCAUUUGUUUUCCGGCAAUCUAACCCUCACCACCACCUAAAAACUAAUCCUUAUCUUACCUUCUUCCAUUUCCAACCAAAUUUUAUUGGGUUUGAGCUUGAAUUUGAGUAGAACGAAACCCGUGGGUUCCGUGGGUGCCAUGGCUAAAUCCGACGAUUGUGAAGUUAACCUAGCAAAUUACCACCAUCACUAGGCUCUCAUCAACCCUAGGAACAAAGCCCAAGCAAUGUUUAAGGUGUUGGAGUGAGUUUGGAGGUUGAAUCGAACACACCCAAGUUUAGGGUUCCGUACCGUUCGAGCUAAAGUGGGGCAUUUCCUGGAAAAAUUGGUCAUAGUCACAGGUAUGAAAGUUGCUUCACUCAUUGAGCUCUUCAUCCUUGUAAAAUUUGGUAAUUUUUAGAAAUAGUUGAAUUUUCCGGCGAGUCGCGGCGGCCGACCGCCACUGGUUGUGGCGCGUGCGGCGGCUUGAGGCCAGUAGACCGCCGAUGCUAUUUUACAUUAAAUUGAUAUCUUGAUCUUAUAUUUUAUAUCCGUAUGAUGUGAUUUGAUUAUUGUGGACCUAGUUUGAUUAAGAUACGUUACUUGAGAAAAAUAUGAAUCGACGAUCUGACUGUUUGAUCGUCACCAUACUUUAAUAUCUUAUAGUACGUAAUAUUUGAAGAUCAUAGAAACCUACGGAUUGGGAAUCCGACAUAUGGAUCUUCCUGAAUUGGAUGUGUAAGUUGAUAAAAUAAAACGUUAACCGCCACUUGAAUUUGUAAUUGGCAGAGAUCCAACCGUUAGAUCGUAAUGAAACUUUAGGAUGUUGUUCUAUAAGUAUAAUGUGGAUCUUUGGAAGUAAGGGAUUGGAAAUCAGUGAUGCGGAUCUUCCGGAUCGAAUUACGUAGGGAUGUGUUUUACGUAAGUUACAUAUUCUAUUGAUAAGAUUUAUGAGACAUGAUUUGAUAAUUGUUCUAGGUGCCGAUUGUUCGUGAUGCCUUGAUGUGUAUGCUAGGGAGUUGUAGCGGGGAAUUCAGGUGAGUGGGCUUUUGGUUUUCAAUAAAUGUAUAUAUGCUUUACAUUUUUCCCAAAAAAUUGAUUUAAAUGAUUUCGCAUUUUAAAUGCCAUGUCAAUUGUUUUAUAUUUAUGAAUAUGCAUUAGUAGUUAUGUAUGUUAGCAUUUGAAGUUGUUGAUGCUCAGGUAAGUUCCAGGUGAGUAGAUGUUGAUUAUAGAGGUUGCAGUGUAUAUGAUUGUGAUGAGAUGCAUUUAAAGCUCAUCAUCCUACACCCUGGUGCUAAUGCUUCCGCCCGUGGCCAGGGCAUAGUCCUUCACGUGAAGUUCACCUCCCGCACCACACACUCACCUUGGAUCCAAGUUUGGUGCACAGCCCUGUCAUACAAACCACAAUAGGUGGUUCCGACUAGUAGGUGACUCGUAAUUUAUCGCAUAGCCUUCAAGUGAUCGUAGCACUUGAGCGUACUUAUUUGCACCCAGCCCUAUCAUAUAAACCACUUUAGGUGGUUCCGACUCGUGUGCAAGAUUAGAGUGCUGAGCUAUAGGUUCAACCGUACAGGUCAUAUUAGGUGACUCCGGCUGACAUAUAAUUUUACAUUGAAUUGUUUCACCUAUCUUACAUAUUUAUUAUUGAGAUACUCGACAUGGAAUAUACUUGUUUCACCUGGCUUACAUAUCUAUAUACGUAUGUAUUGCUAUUUUCUGGGAAAAUUAUAUGGGUUUUACGGUGAGGGGUUAUUAUGUUUAGAAAGAGAAAUGUGUUUUCAAAAGCUUUGUUUCUGCCCACUCACGUUUUCUGUUUUUUGCCCAUCCAGGCUUUAACUGCUGAGCGAUCGUAUUGACGAGGAUUCUUAGCGAGUCUUAGUAUAUGUGGCUACUUUUGAGGGUAUGAUAUUUACCCACUCUACUAUACUUUACUUAUGCUCUGACGUCACGUGUGAGAUGGGUUCAUUUCCGCUCAUUAGUGCACUCUGUAUUUAGGCACAUAUAGGUUUUAAAUUUAUUUACAUUUUCCACAUCACUACAUUUUAUGGCUUCGUUACCUUUCAGGUGUCGGCCAGCACAGCCUGAUUCCGGGUCAGGAUGUGUCAGUUUGGUAUCAGAGCAUAAGUUAGGCAAUAUUGCAUCCAUCACACGCAUGAUGAAAGCAUUCUAGGUUCUUGAGCCUAAUUUUUGAAACUUGCCACCUCGUCGACUACGAAAAAUGUGUUAGUUUUUCCUAAGUUUUAGGCAGUUUUGCUGACUUGUCGACAUUUUAGAAGAUUACUUUGGUGAGUGCUUUUAGACUUAAAGCUAAGAACUUUCCUGCCAAGGAAAGAUGUAGAUUUGAGACUAGUUGAUGGCCCUAAUGCAUGAUUAAGGCCCUAAUGCAUGAUUAAGGUAUCAAUAUGGGUGUAUCAUCAGGGAUUUAUAGAUCAAUACCAUCACUAUUAUUUAGCCAUCAUUAUUAAACCUUUUGAGGUUGGGAAAAUUAGAAAUAGUUUUGGUUCCUUGGCAAUGUCCAUUAGAUUACCACCUAUUAGAAUUCUUAUGAAGUCUACUCUCGUCAAGAUCCCAAAAAUGUCUCUAGUGACAAUACGGUACUACAAGGGUAGCACUUGAUGGAAGAACAUCUUGGGACAAUCAUUUUUAGUCCCUGAUAACACUAAUCUUUCCAAACACACUAGUGAUCUUUCCGGAUCUUCAGGAGGAAGGUCGACUCCCGUUUAAGUCCGUCCUAAAGUAAAUUGUUAGAAAACUCUUCCUCUGGCCUUAAGACUUCCCAGCCAAUGCUAGUUUCCAAAUUUUCUUUUAGUGUUGUACUCAUUAUUUUGAUGAGUAUAGGCACAGGUGUCCGAGUUGUUACACCUAUGAUUAGUAGAAAUCCUGAAGUAAAAAGUAUUUUUUUCCCUAGAAUUAAUGAACCACCUCACAGGACCAAUUCCUUACCAAUCAUUCAAAACCAUUCCCCCAAGCGGGCUCUAACCUGUAAUCAACCUAUAGUGGCGUUAUUAAUUGACGAUACUGUCCGAUAUCCAGGGAUCGUCAACCAGUAUUCCAGUGGUAUAACUUCUGAUACUGGACACAGGCUAGUAUUUGGGAGUGAUACCUUUAUGCUAGGACACUGGUUUACAGUUUCAGGGUAGUGAAUAAUAUCAAAAUGUUGUUUAUGUGUCGAUUAGCGACGUGACUGGUGGACUGAUUAAUAGUGAUUAUUUGAGCCAAAAAAAAAAAAAACUAAAUCGUGGGAACUUAGUAGCGGACCUUGUAUUAAGACAGUAAACUCACGGUUAUGUUAACCAUAUUACCUAUUUAGGUAAUCAAAACUUCUUCGACUAUCCACCUUUCGAUCACUUCCGCAAGGGGAUUGUAGAAUCGAACUACGAAAUGACAUCUCACUACUAGAAUGUUUUAAGUGUCGAGAAAACUGUGAAGACCUUUUAGUUCGUGUCAUAGAAUUAGUUAGAGCUUAGCACGUUUCGAGGAGGUAUGCCUUUGACAUCUUUUCUUGAAAUUCUACUUACGAUGCCACCGAAUGCGAGAAUUAUAAUACACCAGUGAUUCACCUUGUUAACACCACAUUUACUAUCCCUAUUUCUUAUAGAACAACUCCUAUAUAAAUUUUCCUUUUGACUUUUCGAUCGAGUCCUACUUCAUUCAGAGAACUUAGUCACUAAAGCUUACGAUUAGGGAAUUACUGAAUCAAACAUUUUAUCUAUGGAACUUCAAACCUAUUCGCGGGGGCGAAAGACUAAGCCCUAGGUUUGUACCUAGAUUUUAGCAACUCGAUCGGUUUAAACCCUACUUCAAAAUGAUGGUUUAGCCAACCAACCUUUGUAAUCCGAGUUUGCUUCCAUGGUCUGACGAAUUCAUAGAGGUCUUAUCGAUGAUCUUGUUAUCUACCUCGACAGUGAGACCAAAUUCUCUAAGCUCUGUUAGUUAGCUUAUUACCAGAUUCUUCGACUAAAAACUUUAAGUAAAUUGAUACUCUUCUUGGGAGACGUGAUCUCAGUGGACGAGAUUCUUUUCUUUUUUCCAAAAAAAAAGGUUGUAGCGGAAGAAAGUUGAAAUUUUCAUAAAGUGUUGUGAAAUUCGAGAUAUCCUUGGUCUUGUUGAUUUUAUCGACAAUUGGUUAGAGAUUUUUCGAUUGUAGUGUUUUUCCUUAAUCACAAGCAAGGAAAGUUAGUUUAGUUGUAAUGUUAGAAAUGAAUAAAGUUUCAGACAACUGAAGUGUUGUCUCACCUCAUCUUUGUUCUAUGUCUUCGAUGUCGUUAAUCAUUAUGAAAUCCAUGAUGAACCAUCUUAUUUAUGACUUGGAGUCAGCAUUUACCAUCUUUACUUGAAAAUCAAAUAACAUUUCUCUAUGGAGAAUGUGUCCAAAAUCCUUAUCAACCUUAGAAUUUCUUAAGUACAUUUACUCUUGGAAUGAGCUAAGUUUCUAAAAACGACAGUAAAAGGACUAAAUCAACAUUUACGAGUGCAUCAUCAUGUAUUAGUUCGGCUGUAUAAAAAGGACAUAUCUACCCUUGAACACUUACAGCUUAUCCUAUUCUAUGUUAGUUGGAAAAUUCAAUUAUCGAUAUGACGUUACCUUUAACCCAUCAAGAAAUAGUUCAAAUGGUUAUAAUCACUUUUGUUGUAUGAGUGGAGUUGGGAAGAAUCAUUAUACACACUCAGUAUGAUGUAUUUUGUACGUGUAGAGAAUGUGAAAAUCAAUAAUCAUGAUGCUGAACCAAUGAUAUGCUUAUGUGGUGUUUCAAUUGGUGGUAGCUUUACUUAAGUGGAAAGUCGUAUUCUUCCAGCCUUAAAGCUUAAAGCAUUGGCAAUGAUUUCUUUCUUUAAAAUGGGCAUUGAAAUUUUAACAACAAGACACUUGUGAAGACAACUAAGAUAGAAGUGGGAUGUUGUUAACUUCUUCGCAUGACGUGAUCUAAAAGUCCUCGUUGGUGAUAUGAUUAAAUGUGGAGAUAGGAAAGGAAUUAAAAUUGAGGCUCCACUUGAAGAGAAUUCUCAGUCUAGGCUCACCUCGCCUUUGGUUAGAGUAAGAAGGAUGUUUGAGGAAAUAAAGUCCAAACUUCCUGGAUAACCACAUUGUCUUCUCUGUUUGCUUUCAGAGGAUGAUGGCAUUAUGAGAGAGCUGCUUCUAGACUUUUAUAUAAGUUCAGGCAAACAAAAACCCAACAAGAUUAUCAUCUUGGCAUAUUUAUAUCUCAUCAUGCUACGUGUUUCACUUCCAAGCCUUUGGAAGUCUUUAUGAAGGUUAUAAGUAUUAGAUGUUGUUUAAUAUCACAUUUCCACCCCUAGACUAAUGAUUAGACUGAAAUGAGUUAUGCAGAUCUUAGUGGACGAGUUGCAUUUUGUUUGUUCCACUAAUAGCUUGGUUGCAACAUACCAUUAUCUUUAUUUUAGUUGCUUGUAACUACGAAUACAAUUUUGGCUUAGAUAUGAUGCCAUUGGAGUCGAUAUACAGAGAUUUUAUGCACAAUACAUAAUUGGUAGAUACUUACCCUUGUUAGAGUUAUGUGUAACUACGGUUACAUUCCUGGUUAUGAGCAUGGCAUCUUUUGAGAAAUGGUAUAAAUAUUUAUGCGCAGUAUGUUAUUUACAGAGGAGUAUUGCAAAUAGGUAUUUGAAUGAUCAAGAUUGUGACAUGAAAAAUUUUAUGAUAUUGAUGAUGUUGCCUGAGAAGGUAGUGCAUGAGCAUGAUCGAGGCUUUGUUUAGGCGAUGUAUGUAUAUUUACCAAUAAGGGGCAAGAUGGUAAUAUUGUACCCACAAGAAGUCCUUACUUGUUUGUCGAGACGACAAUGAGUUAUUGGUAUUGCGGGCUGUAGACUGUAAUAUCAAUAACUUAUUGUUGGGUUCGUUAAGCAAGUGGGUAUCUAGGUCUGCUUGCGAAAGUAUAAGUUAAAUUUUUCUAUGUUUGGUUUUUGAUUUCAAUAUAAUUACUUUAAUUUUAUGUUAUAAUUUAUAUAUACGUAAUUUGACAUUAUAUUUUUAUAUAUCUAUUUUUGGCUUGAGGUUUUCGUAAAGAAUUUUAUAUUGAAGUAUUAUACUGAAGGAGGAAGAAAGUAUGAGCUUGGAGGCAUGAAAGAGGAAUAAUUGCAAUCUGAUCGCGACCGAAUGGCAUUCUCUUUUAUGCAGCCGCUCUAACUCGAUUUCUUCCUUGUGUAUGUAUUUACAUACAUGUUUUCUCCCUAUUUUCGAGUAUUUUACAUUUAACCAGUUAUUUUAAAUUUCGAGGACCAAAUUUUCUUAAAGGGGGUAGAUUAUAACAGCCCGUCCCUAAAAAUUAUGAUUUUUAUAACUUCAAUAAGUGAAUUUACGAAAAAUGCCCUUUCUAGGAAAAUACGUUGAUUUUUGUUAACCAUCUUGUCAUGUCAUGUAAGAUCUGUUUCCUUCAUGUAUUUGGGUAGUACUUGUCGUUACGAACGGAUGGGCGCAAACGGGACGUGAUUUGGAGUUAUAACAAGAGAGUUAUUAACGUUUAAAGUUAGGGGUAUUAUUGUAAAUUGGCCCUCACCUAGAAGGCUCUAGCAAUUUUGGAGCAGUAGGAAACUUGCCACGUGGGUGGCCAGGAUAGAGAGUUGAGGAGAGAAAAGGAAAGAUGGGGGAACGGAUGGGCCAAUGAGGGAAUGAGGUGACCAAUCGAAAACAGAAGAAAGGAGGGGAAAUGAGAGAAAAAAAGGGGGGAGACAUGGGUUGGCCCAUGUAACCAGUCGGGCACAACCCACACCCCCGCCUUCUCGACACUUUUCCCUUGGUUUUCCGACGAUGUAACCCUCACCACUACCUAAAAACUAAUCCUUAUCUUCCCUUCUUCCAUUUCCAACCAAAUUGUAUUGGAUUUGAGCUUGAAUUCGAGUAAAACUAAACUCGUGGGUUUCGUGGCUGCCAUGGCGAAAUCCGACGAUUAUGAAGUUAACCCAGAAAAUUAUCACCAUUACUAGGCCCCCCUCAACCCUAGGAACAAAGCCUAAGCAAUGUUUUAGGCGUUAGAGUGAGUUUGGAGGUCGAAUAAAACACACCCAAGUUUAGAGCUUCGUACAGUUCGAGCUAAUUGGGGCUUUCCCUACCAAAUUGGUCUUAGUCACAGGUAUGAAUUUUCCUGCGAGUCGGGGUGGUUGACCGCCACCGACGGUGGCGCGUGCAGCGGCACAUGGCCAGUAGAUCGCCGUUGCUAUUUUACGCUAAAUCAAUACCUUGAUCUUAGAUUUGAUAUCUGUAUGAUGUGAUUUGCUUAUUGUGAACCUAGUUUGAUUAAGAUAUGUUACUUGGUAAAAAUAUGAAUCAAUGAACCGACCGUUGGAUCAUCACCAGACUUUAAUAUCUUUUAAUACGUAAUAUUUGAGGACCAUAGAAACUUAAGGAUCAAGAAUCCGACGUCCAGAUCUUCCUGAAUUGGAUUUGUAAGUUGAUAAAAUAAAACGUUAACUGCCACUUGAAUUUGUAAUUGGCGGAGAUCCAACCGUUGCAUCGUAAUGAAACUUUAGGAUGUUGUUCUAUAAGCAUAAUGUGGAUCUUUGGAAGUAAGGGAUUGGAAAUCCGUGGUGCGGAUCUUCCAGAUCGAAUUACGUAGGGAUGUGUUUUAUGUAAGUUACAUAUUCUAUCAAUAAGAUUUCUGAGACAUGAUUUGAUAAUUGUUCUAGGCGGCGAUUGUUCAUGACACCUUGAUGUGUGUGCUAGGGAGUUGUAGCACGGAAUCCAAGUGAGUGGGCUUUUGAUUUUCAAUAUAUGUAUAUAUGCUUUACGUUUUUCCCAGAAAAUUGAUUUAAAUGAUUUUGCAUUUUAAAUGCCAUGUCAAUUGUUUUAUAUUUUAGAAUAUGCAUUAGUAGUUAUGUAUGUUAGUAUUUGACGCUGUGGAUGCUCGGUAAGUUCUAGUGAGUAGAUGUUGAUGAUAGAGAUUGCAGCGUAUAUGAUUGUGAUGAGAUGCAUUUAAACCUCAUUAUUCUGCAUCCCGAUGCUAGUGCUUCCUCCCGUGGCCAGGGCACAGUCCUUUACAUGAUGUUCACCUCUCACACCGCACAUUCACCUUGGAUCCAUGUUUGGUGCACAGCCCUGUCGUACAGACCAUAAUAGGUGGUUCUGACUCAUAGGUGACCCGCGAUUUAUUGCACAACCUUCACUUGAUCGUAGCACUUGAACGUACUUAUUUGCACCCAACCCUGUCGUAUAGACCACCUUAGGUGUUUCCGACUUGUGUGCAGGAUUAGAGAGUUGAGCAAAAGGUUCAGCCGUAUAGGUCACAUUAGGUGACUCCGGCUAACAUAUCAUUUUACAUUGAAUUGUUUCACCUGGUGAUGCGAGAAUUACUUGACACACAAAUUAAACCCUCUUUUUGACAAUUGUAGUAUAGAUGUAAGUAGGGUAUCGUUCUAGGCCGGGGAUUAGGAGGGAUUGCUAAUCUAUUCUAAAUUAAUUUAAAAAUAUUAAAAAAGACUCAAGGACACAAAACUAGGCUAAAAACUCUAAUAACUUGAAACACACUUAGAAUGACUCAAAAUAAUGGAAACACUCAAUUUAGACACUAGGAACUGAAAUGGACGGAAAUUGAAUUAAAAGACAACAAUGAAAACUAACUAAAUAAUAUAAUUUAAUAAUGGGGGGUGUUUGGUUUUGACGAGAAGUAAAUUAAACUUAAAUAAAUUACAGAAUUGACAAAAACAUGAAAUUAAGGUGAAAGGAUAGGUGACGGACUAGCUAGAGGGUUUUUCUCCACACAUGACACAUAUGCAACCUAAAUUGAUUUUCAGUUGUUCUUUCAAUAAAUUGUGAAUCUCAACACUUCAGAUUAACCGUGAACAGCACUUUUUUAAUCUUCAAGUUUUCCUUAAGUUAUUGAAUUGGACGGGAAAACGCAUACAACAAUUCAAAACAUUCUUCAAAAGUCCCCUACGUGAAAAGCACAAUAGAGAUACAAUCAAAGAUCAUUAAACUUUGUGAAAACUAUAAGCAUUGACGAGGCAUUCGUAAACACUCCCUCCUGUAAAUGUGAAUUGGACGGGCUAAUUUUGUUCCACAACACACUUGAGCUCCCUCUUGUAAACACUCCCUCCUGUAAACUUCCAAAAUCUUAAUCAGUCCGACUCUCUUCUUUCUUCACCACCUUCAGAAAAUGUCUGGCCCGUCCGAUCGUCGUUUUGACUUGAACAUUGGUGAAGAGGCAGCUCCGCCUUCACCAGACAACAUAUGGCGCCCAUCUUUCAUAUCCCCUACCGGUCCUCUUACCGUUGGGGAUUCGGUGAUGAAAAAUGACAUGACCGCUGCGGUGGUGGCCCGGAACCUUGUCACUCCCAGAGAUAACAGACUGCUCGCUAGACGGUCUGAUGAAUUGGCGGUUAAGGAGUCUCUGGCUCUUAGCGUGCAGUGUGCUGGUUCUGUGUCCAACAUGGCCCAACGCCUAUAUGCUCAAACCCGUCACGUUGAAUCGUUGGUGGCUGAAAUACAGAGUCUCAAAGAGGAGAUUAGAGGACUCAAGCAUGAAAAUAAACAAUUGCAUAAGCUCGCACACAGCUAUGCCACCAGCAUGAAGAGGAAGAUUGACCAGAUGCAGGACACUGAUGGUCAAAUUUUACUGGAUCAUUGGAAGUUUGUGGGUCUGUUCCAACAGCAUCUGCCUUCAUCUUCUGGAGCGGCACCGCGUAGUGAAGCUCCAAUUGAUCAACCUCUGUUGCCUCCUCCUUCUGUUGCCCCGCCGACUGCUGAAGCACCGCCGACUACUGAAGCACCACCUGACCAAUGAAUGCUAUUAGUUCACACAUCAUUGUAAAAUAUUUUUAAGUUAAUGUUUUUUUUUUUUUUUUUUUAAUUAUAUGUAAAUUAAUGUAGAAAGACUUUGGUUAACCUUCCCCCACACUUAAACUAAAUAACACAAACUUACAGAAAUUAACCAAAUAACACAACUAACUAAACAAAACAAAAUGAAAGCAGUAAAGAUAAGGGUGUAAGAAUUCAAAUCUGAUUUGGUUAGCGAUUCCAAAGUCUCCCUUCGUUGAAUGCUUGGGUUGCCUCCCAAGAAGCGCUUGAUUUAACGUCUUUAGCCGGACGAAUCUUUCCUUUAAACUCCCCUCGGCUCCAAAGCAUGGAAUUUAUCUUUUAAUGGGAGGUGAUACUUGAAAUGAUUCGGCAAUGGUUUAAAUUCAAGAGUGGGUGCCUGAAUCAUCAAAAUCAGAAACAUGUUAGUAUAAGUUAAAAUUAAAUUUGGAGAAGAUGGCUUACUUUCUUUUUCCGACAUAAACUCAAUGACAAACACCACAUUUGUGAACAUUUCUGGGACUUUGAACUUGGCCAGGUUUACUAUGAUGGUUGUGGCGUGUCCCGUGUCAUCAAACUCAACUGCUUUGGGCUUGAUUGUCUCAUGCACAGCCUCUUGGAUGUAUUCUUGAUAUGCUUCAACCACUUCAUUCUCUUGAAUCCCUUUUCUUGGUGUGCAAGGUUCUUUGAACAUUUCAAUACCAUCGGGAAUUUGUUUUGGUGCACCAAGAAUUAGGAUAUCACUUUGCACCUUUGGAAGAGCUUCCACAAUGUCUUUUUCACUCUCUUUGAAAUUUGGAAUAAAAAACCUGCAAGGACAAAGGACAUUCGGUGGAAUAAUGUUAGAAUGAAGUGAAUUUAUAACUUCCUCACCUGAGUUAGAUGACAUAGGGAUUUGAGGAGCUUGCAGCAAGAAUUCUUCUAAACUGCCCAGGUCGUCCUCCUCCUCUUCUGCUUGCAGCAGCAAUUCAUCCAUGUUCGGGCUGUGUUUGGAUGGUUCUAGGACAGCUUCAUCCUUCAUGUCACCUUCCAAAGUGAUGGCUUCAUCGAUUUCACUUUCUGCUUUUGAAUUUGCAAUGUUUGAGUUGGAAAGUUCACUUUGAUCUCGAAUCUGUGCCAUGAAUUCCACAAUCUGCCCAACUUGCAUCUCCAAUUCAUCCACUCUUUUGACUCGGUCUUGCAUCUCCUGGUUUUGAUUUUCUACUCCCUGAUUCAAAGAGGUGAGUAACUUAUUAAGUGUAUCAUUAUCCAAGGAUGUACCUGAAUUGAAUUGGGUUGAUUGUUGUGGUGGCUGUGACGGUUCAUAUGGCCACUGAUAGAACUCUUCCGAUGGCGGCAAUUGUUCUUCUUUUCGUAAACCCUGCGCCACAGAAAUUAGUCCUUCAAGAAUUUCAUUAUAAUUCAUGGGCAUACUUUGAUUUGAUUGGAAUUGUUGUGGGGGAUGCUGUGGUGGCUGCAUAGGUCUUGAAAUAGAACUCGUCUUGCUGCCAAUAUCCACCUUGUUGAAAUUGUUGAGGUUCAUCCCACAUAUAAUAUGAAUUACCUCUCUCCAAUCUGAAUUGCAAGCGUUGGAAAACAUGUUGCCCCUUGAUUGGUUAUAACCUUGAUAUCCCCAAACAUCUUCAUUGGCAGAAAAUUGAGGACUUUGAUAUCCUUGCCCAUAGGGCACAUCAAGUGUAGGGACACUUGGCAUUGUGGUCCGUUCGGCAUUAUGAGUCAAUUGAGCAGUGAGCUGUGCCAAUUGAGCUUGAAUGGUCGCAAGUGCCAUGUCUCGCUCCAUUUGUACCUAAAAUCAAAGAAAGAAAAAUAAAUCAAAUAUCAAAAGUAAAAUACACAAACACCAAUAUAAACAUAAACAAAAACAAAAAUAAAGGGAUUAGCAAAGUUGCUAAUCCCCGGCAACGGCGCCAAAAUUUGAUGCGAGAAUUACUUGACACACAAAUUAAACCCUCUUUUUGACAAUUGUAGUAGGGAUUGCUAAUCUAUUCUAAAUUAAUUUAAAAAUAUUAAAUAAGACUCAAGGACACAAAACUAGGCUAAAAACUCUAAUAACUUGAAACACACUUAGAAUGACUCAAAAUAAUGGAAACACUCAAUUUAGACACUAGGAACUGAAAUGGACGGAAAUUGAAUUAAAAGACUAACAACAAUGAAAACUAACUAAAUAAUAUAAUUUAAUAAUGGGGGGUGUUUGGUUUUGACGAGAAGUAAAUUAAACUUAAAUAAAUUACAGAAUUGACAAAAACAUGAAAUUAAGGUGAAAGGAUAGGUGACGGACUAGCUAGAGGGUUUUUCUCCACACAUGACACAUAUGCAACCUAAAUUGAUUUUCAGUUGUUCUUUCAAUAAAUUGUGAAUCUCAACACUUCAGAUUAACCGUGAACAGCACUUUUUUAAUCUUCAAGUUUUCCUUAAGUUAUUGAAUUGGACGGGAAAACGCAUACAACAAUUCAAAACAUUCUUCAAAAGUCCCCUACGUGAAAAGCACAAUAGAGAUACAAUCAAAGAUCAUUAAACUUUGUGAAAACUAUAAGCAUUGACGAGGCAUUCGUAACUAUGAAAAGCAUGAUACUCUUGCCAAGAAUUCACUUAACGUGAUUGUGACUAGCAACCUUCACUACUUGUGAAUAUAAGUUCAUAACGAUUAGGUGAAAUUCACUUAUAUUCUAGCAUCAAAUUCAUGCAUGUAAAUUAAGUAUGCAUCCUUAAUCGACAUACAAAAAUAAGUUAUAAAUCAAGCAGUUAAGCAAUUAAAUCACAACUCAGAAAUCACAACUGAAGGUAAUCAAUUCAAAUUACAAAUAUAUUCAUGGCUUUGAAUUAACCUCUAGCCAAAAUAAGUUUAUUUACACAUUAUUAAAAUAGAAAUAAAAUAGAAGUUUGGAAAGAUUAAACCGAGAGAGAGGAGAGUGCUUGUUGCUUCUGUCUGUCUGACUUCCCUUUCUGAUCCAGUCUGCCCUCUCUUGCCGUGCCUGCCCAUUGCCUCUGUCUCUCUGUUUUCGCACUCUAACCUCUCUCCCCUCUGACCUGCGUCUAUCCUCACGCUGCCAAAGGCAGCCCUCCUUUCUUUCCGCCCCCCAGCUGCAAAGCAACUUUCCUCCCGCGUCAAUCCCCCCCUGUUUUUCUGCGCCUCCUGCGCUCUCUGCGAACUGCCCAAAGGCAGCUCCUCCCUCUAUGUCCUCCUCUCUCCCCUUAUUUCCUCCUCCUCUCCCCUUAUUUCCUCCUGCCUUUUCUUCUUAUUUUAUGCGCCCCCAGCUGCCAAAGCAGCAUCUGCCUUCCACCUCCCCGUGUCUCAGCUUUCCCCCUUUUUUUUAUUUUUCUAUUCCAUCUUUUCCCGCAUACUCCUGCCUUCCACUCCUCACGUUUCCACCUUGGAUUCCUUCCUUUCCAGCUGCAAAGCAGCUUCCUGUUGUUUUCAGAAGUGAAGAAUAUGGGAGUCAACGAGGUAAAAAAAAAUAUAAAUCAUGAUGCUCUCUUGCUCCCUCUUUGACCGACUCUCACCAUUUCUUUUGUUUAUGCCGUGACAUAAUUCUACCAAUAAUCCAUGACAAAAUGAGAACGACUAAAGCAAUUUUCGACGAAUUUAUUAUUUAAAACUCAUUUGUGCUAUUUUUAUUUUCUUUGCAUAACAAAUCCUAUAAACACAAAAAUAACGUAAAUAGCUCAAAAAUGUAAGGAACUAACUAAGAAAAGACGAGUGAAUUCGAAGUAAAAAUAUAUAUAAAUAUGAUCCGAUCACCUGGCUUACAUAUUUAUUACUGAGAUACUCGACAUGGCAUAUACUUGGUUUUUGCUGCUCUCGAGUAUGAUUUCUAUAUAUGUACGUAUUGCUAUUUUCUGGGAAAACUAUACGGGUUUUACGGUGAAGGGUCAUUAUGUUUAGAAAGAGAAAUAUGUUUUCGAAAGCUUUGUUUUUGCCCACUCACGUUUUCUGUUUUUUCGCCCCUCCAGGCUUGAACUGCUGAGCGAUCGUAUUGACGAGUGUUAAUACAUGUGGCUACUUCUAAGGGUAUGAUCUUUACCCACUCUACUGUACUUUACUUAUGCUCUGACGUCACAUGUGAGAUGGGUUCAUUUCCGCUCACUAGUGCACUUUGUAUUUAGGCACAUUUAGGUUUUAAAUUUAUUUACAUUUUCCAUAUCACUACACUUUAUGGCUUCGUUACCUUGCAGGUGUCGGCCAGCACAGCCUGAUUCGGAAUCUUAGUGGACAUUCCGAUUCAGGAUGUGUUAAUGUAUUUAAAAAAUAAAUAAAAUAAAAAUUAUUAUUUAAAAUCUUUGUGCAAUGAAAGUCAAAUAUUUCGUCGCCGAAAUCCAAUUUAUUUUCUCUAAUAUUUAAUUUUAUAUUUGAAAUUGUAAAAUAAAAUUAUUUUCAUAGUUUUUAUUAUUUUUUUAAACUUUGCACGAUGAAUAUGAAUAUUUUGUCGCCUCAACCUUAUUAAUUUUAUUUUUUAUAUUGUUAAAUUAAAUGAUUUUCUUUAUUUUCUUAUUAUUUCUUUGCUUGACGAAUCAACAUUUCGUUGCCUAAACCAUUUUUAUUUUAUUUGAUUUAUAUUUUAAAUUGAAAAUAAAAUUAUUUUAUUUUUAUUAUUUUUUAAAAACAUUGCGUGUCAAAUAUUAAUGUUUCAUCGCAUAAACCCUGUUUAUUUUUUUUUAUUCAAUUUAUAUUUUGAAUGGUAUAAUAAAAAUUAUGUUUAUAAACUUUGCGCAAUGAACUCCAAUAUUUCGUCGCGCAAAAUCCUUAAAUUUGGGUGCGUGCAGUGAAUGGGACACGGAAAAAUUGAUUUUAAAUUUUUUUUUUAAUAUUUUGUACUACCAAUUCUUUGUCACGAAAAACCUUAAAAAUUUGGGUGGGUGCCUAAAAUGGGACUCUGGAAAUUUUUCUUUUAAAAUUUUCUUAAGACUUUGUGCGACCGAUAUUUCGUAGUGCAAAAUUGUAUCUUUCAUUACGCCAAGUGAUCCGGUUUUUAAAACCAAAAUAACUCCUCCACAAUUUUCCCAAUGUCUCUCUUUAUUCUCUUACCUCUCCCCUCUCUUUCCCUCUCCCCAAAUCCAACCCUCUCUCUCUCACACUCACACUCAAUUUCUCCUCACUCUCUAUCUCUCACUAUCAUUCACUCUCUUCUAAUGGUGGAGCUAGGAAUUUUUUACCGGGUGGGCUAGCUUAAAAAUUUAAAACCUUAUAAAUAAAGAAACUUGAUACCAUAUUUUUCAUAGUAUCAGCUAGCUUAGAAAAAAUCACAAGGUGAGCCAAAAAAAAUUGGAAUUAAACAAAUACGUAUUAAAAUUAAACAAAUCCAAACUUGUACAUGUACAAGAAGUGAUGAGAAAAAUGAUGUAAGAAAAAGAGAUGGGAAAAAUUUGGAAUUAAACAAAUACGUAUUAAAAUUAAAAUUAAACAACUAUUAGGAUGAUUAUGAACCGUUUGAUUUGAUCCAACACGAGCCUUGUGUUGGACCUUGGGUUUAAGGUAGAUAGUUGUUGAUUUUAGUUACGCGUUUAAUCCAAUUAAACCGUUAUUUCCUAUUGGGCGUUGGACCCAACUAUUCCAAUUUGCAUACAUAUAACAAAAAGGAAUACAUGAAAUAAUAAGAAGGGCUUAUGCCCUUUUACAACACAAAUGAUGGACUUAUGUCCAUUUACAACAAAUUAGAACUAAUCAAAUUACAUUCAAUUCUACACUACUAAACCCAAACAUUCAUAAUGUAAAGCGGCCAAUCACAUAGCUCAAUUAUCGAGGCCUUUGGUUCAUAAUCACCCUUUUCUUAAUCAAUCACAUUAACUAAGAAAACAACUUUAAACAAUUGGUUUUCAGAUCCAUAGAAUUGAUUUAAAUGGAACUAAAUGAAAUGAAAAUCCAAUUCUCAUUAAAGAGACAAAACCAUUUUGUUCUCAUUUUAUUUGGGCCAAAAUAAAACAAUGACCACAACAAUUGGGCCACAAUGCAAAUACAUAAACUUUUGGGGUCACUUUGUAAAAACACAAAAGUCCACAACUUCAUGUAAUUACAACUACAGCCCAAAAUUUUAAUAAUGUAAAAACAUCAAUAAAGGAGCAAAACAAUUUGUCCUUUAGAGUUUUUGGGCCUUAACGUAAAAACGUAAACUUUUGGGCCAAAGUGCAAAUACACAAAAUUAUCAAAACUUUAUGUAAUUGCAUAAAAGGCCCCAAAAGUAACCCCACUAGGGGGUGGCCGGUUUUUUAGUGUAAAAGAGUGUGAAAGGGUUUUGGUGAAACAAUCAAAGGUUUAAUAAAGUUUUAUGCAAGUAGAACAUGCAAGUGGAUUAGUUAGGUGAAGAUAAAGGUGAUGGGUUUAUGUGUAAGAAAAUGUUUUGUAAAACUUUAAUGGCAUUUAUCAACCCUCACCAAUAAUCCAUCACCCAUCCAAAUAAACCAAAACUUUAUGAAAAACACCAAACACUUUGAAUCAAAAUUCCAAACCUUUUUGUUCUUUGUAAGAAACUCAAGAACAUUGAAGAACACCCAUGAAAACUCAUAAUAGCUCCAUGAAUGUUUUCACACAAUAAAACUCAAAUUUUCACUACUCAAAAGAGGGCUAAUAUCCUAGGGUACUUAGGGGUUCCAAAAAUCACUUUAAAACCAUUUUAACAAGACAAACAUGAACCAAAAAAAUCACCCUUUGGAUUUGGCCGAAUUUCCCAACAUACAUGGCACCAAAUUUUAGUUCCAAUAUUCAUGCUUCAAUGAACUACAUCUACAACAUUUAAGAUGCAAAAUUUUCAAACAAAACUUAUUCAAUAAGCAAGAACAAAGCUUGUAACAUUUACAACACUUAAAUCAUAAAUCAUGAAAUACACAAAACCCAAAAGGAUUCACCAUAAACUAGGUCUAGGCUCUGAUACCACUUGAAGGAAAAAUUUUGUCCUAGCUAAGAACAAGUAAGAACAUUUGAAUACAUAUGUAAACUAUUAACACAUUAAAGUAGGCAUGCAUUCAAAAACAAUUCAUAAAACCCAUGACUUUCAAAGCCUAGUGAAUGGUGAACCAAAAGACUCUUUAACAACAUUAAAGAAAAUGAAGAAUUUAAAGAUUCUUUACCCUUGAAGCUCAUCCUUGUUUACACAAGGGAUUCACCCAAGUGGAGGGCCUUCAAGUCACCUCCAAGCUCCUUGGAUCUUGCUUGUGAUUUCCUUCUCCUUUUGUGCUCCUUUGGUCCUUGAGGAUGUGAGGAAAUGAUCUCCAAAACACCAAAGGUUUGGUGUCUCUAAGUCUCCACACCAAGGGUGAGGUGUGAAGAUGAAAUGGAUGACUUAGAGAAGAAAAGAUUGCUAGAUAAAUCUCCUCUAAGUGGCCGGCCUCCUUGUUUAAAAAGAGAGAAUAGGUUUCACCUCUUUUCUACAAGAAAAACCCUAAUGAGAAAAAUAGCUAUAAAGUUGCUUUUAUAACACUUUUCUUAGGUGAGUGGCAAACUUGCAAUUAAGCAAACCUUCACCCUCUCCUCACCAUGGCCGGCCUAUUUGUUGUGAUUGGGCUUAUUGCCCAUUUUGUUUUAGUUAUCAUACAACUUAAACAUAAUGGGCCUUGUGGACCAAAACACUUUGGGCCCCGAAACCCAAAACCAACUUAAAAGCCCAAUACGAACCUUUCGUAAAAUUAAUUAACUAAUUAAUUAAUCUUGACCAUUCUUCAAUUAAACCAUUUAAUUGCAUAUCCAUUUCAUUUAAUUUCUUCACUUUCAUCCUUACUCGGUGUACGAUCCAUUAGGUUCCAUUUAGCGAGGUAGUGGGCGAUUGUUACUCUUAACGAUCGAUUGUGAAUUGAAACCACAUUUCAAUUCUCCCUUAAAAUUAGUGUUUGCUAAUCAUCAGGGCUUCCACAAACCAUGAGUGACACCUAGCAGCAUGUCAUGGUUACCUAAGCUAAGUAGAAUUGGUUGGAGAACCUAUCUAGUUACAACUACAAUGCAAUACGGUCCUUCUCUAAUACAAUACUCUUAAUCACAUUGUUUAAGUGAUAGUUUGUUUCAUGUCUACUAUCCAAUGUGAUACAUCUCUAUAUGAUUCUUUUGAAUAAGAUUUGGAACAAACUUCCUAAGUCAUAUUCAUAUGCUUUGGCCAAAGACUCUCGAAUCACAUCUUAGAGUAUUCUCCUUCCACCAUGGAAGGUUAGAGAUCCCUUGUUGUGCAUUCAUAUGCCUACAUGACUAGAUAGCUUGACCCCAACAAUGCCGUGGACACUCCAAUGGAAUGCCUUUGACAUGAUCAAAGGUCAAGGACCUAACCAUUAGACAUCUAUGAUGCCUCAGGUCAAAGGACUACUUUGCAUAUUGCAACUAUCGAGUUCUUACAUGACAUGUAUGUUCGAACUCUCUUUUGAUCGUGAUUCAGUGUACUCGAUUACUCUUUCGAGCACCUAUGUGUUUGUCUUAGUGUCCAACACCAAUGACUUGAGACUAGUCAUACUCACACUUGAGUCGACAUAACACAUACUAACCUUAACGGAUUGUCAAUGCCCAAUUGGCAAUCCUAUGGCUAGGAACGUUUUAGGAAUGAACAUAAGAGAAAGGUCUCGAUAAUCUAACUUACUUAAAUCACUUGUCUCUUAGAUCAAAUACAUCCCUUGGAUUCCCUUAUUGCUUAAGCACAUGAUACAAUCAAUUUCAGCUUCAAUUUGCGGGAUGAGCUCGGAUCGAUAGCGCCUUUGAGUUCGCUUUUUCAGUCACGUUCCGGGCUUGACUGCAAGAUGAUGCACAACGACGAUAGGGUUAAGGCUGGGCAUUUCUUUGUAAGUCCAAGCAAAGACGUCUUUGUACUUUAAUAAUAGCUGGUAAUACUCUUCUUUCUCACCCGCACUUAAUAGUGCACUUACGAAGACAAGCUUUGGUUCCUCGCUUAUGCCUAAGUUGAGCUCUUUGAGAUGAUCAAUUGUGGCUUGCCCCCUAUCUUUGAGCUGUGGUGGCAUAGCAGUGACAUCUUCCUCGAGGAUUUCGUCUUCUUUGCCUUCUUGGAUCGUGAUGUGGAAGACAUCUUGGACCUCCUCUUCACCGUUGUCCUCUCGAGCUUGUUGGCUUGAAGAUCGUCCAAUGUGGAUAAUGGUGCGCCUUCUUACUUUUAGUGAUCCAUUUGUGUCAACCUCCAAGAUUGCUUGGUGCUUCAUCCUUGAAGGAAUCGAGCUUCGAAUGUCACCUUUUUCUAUUAACCCAUUGAGCUUUUCUUCCUUUGGCAUUGUCUCCCUCUUUCUAAAAGGCUUUUUAUUGUCUUCAAGUUUUUCCAAAGCUGACCGGCGUGGAGGAGAGCUAGCUGUGUUGCUUUGUUUCUUAGGUUUUGACAACCUUUUAAAAACAGAGCUUUAGGAUGUUAGCGCAUUAAGCCUCUUAAAGACGGAGGUUCGGUCUUGACCACCAAUGCUAUUAAAUGCUGAAAUUCUAGGCCUUGAACGAUUCAUCCUAUUGAAGACUGACGUCGGAGGAAGGACUUAGGCUCCUCUUGAUUUUGUUCAAUGCUCACGCUGAUGUGUUGAGUGCUAGCGUUUUUCGCUUUGCUUGAAAUCUUCACGGGUGCAUUUGGUGUGAAGCCAAGCCCAGCUUUGUUGUUGUCAACUCCGUAACCAUGCUCCUUCAACUUCUUUUGAGUCUUGGUGAGGUUAUGUUCUUUGUCGUUGACGGUGUUUGAAACCUUCUUUCUAGGAUUCGAAGAGGAAGCGAAGUCGUACCCAGCUUUCGACAUGAGCUUGUAGGUGUUUGGAUCAAAACCUUCUUCGGUCCUCUUGGUUGGAAGAAAGCUUGGUUCCAACCCCUUUGGCAGAGCUUUUAUGAAGCCUUGUGGUAGUCUUAUGGUAGCCUUGCAACCUUAGCAUCGCCUAGCUGUGUCAGAGGCAAAACUGCAUUCGUCUUGAGCAACUUCACAUUAUCCUUGUGCCACUGUGUGUUAGCUUUGCUUGCUCUGGUUUCGAACGGGGAUUGACCAUUAUUUCUUCUUGACAUCGGGAUGUAUCGGAAUAUGGGUGUAUUCGGUCUUUCUAAAGGCAUCAUACUCCCUUUGGUUGUUGCAGGUUUAGCAGGCUCGUCAUCGUUUUUGCUUAAAGAUGGCACGACUUGCCCUUCUUGCUUCUUGGGCAUGGCUUGCCAUUCCUGUUUUUUAGGUGUUCCUUUGCCUAUGGAUUUGAUGUCUUCUGGAUGAUCUUCGGGCACCAUGUCUUCAUCCAUGUAGAACUUAGUGUCUGCGAAGUGUGAUUCGACUUCUGUGAAUGGCUUGGUAUCACCUUGGAUCACCUUUACUUUUUCCCGGUAGAAUUUUAAGCAUUGGUGGAGGGUGGAUGACACUACUCCAUUCUCGUGGAUCUAAGGUCUUCCUAGGAGUAAGCUGUAGGAAGUUCUUGCAUUAAUCACGUGGAAUAUCGUGCUUGAUUUAAGUUCACCAAUAGUCAUCUCCACUCAGAUCAUGCCCAUCGCUCUUUGUCCUCCUUGGUUAAAACCCUGGAUUAGCAGACGGCUAAGGGAUAGUUCAUCCACCUUGAUGCCAAUUGUGGUCAUUGUUGACUUUGGCAUGAUGUUUAUGGCUGAUCUACCAUCCACAAGCAUGCGGUUGACUUUGUGCUCCCUUAUGUACCCAGAGACGAAGAGAGGGCGGUUGUGAGGCCUUGAUCCUAGCAGUAAGUCUUCGUCAGUGAAGUUAAUUACAUCAUGGGUGGCACAGCAUGUGGCACAUUCAUGUGGUCGAAGCUUCAAGCCUUCAUUAUUGCCGUCUUGUACUUUAUGGUCGUCAGGACUCGCCAAGACCGCUAUUAGUGCUUUUCGCAUCCCCUUGGCCAAUCGUAAUGCUGCCUUGAUGUUGACGUGUGUCGGUAUGCCUUCUUUAGGUGUGAGGGUCCUAUCUUCCUCUACUGUGAUAUCAUUGCCUUUCGAUGGCUCUUCUAUCUCCACAUCUACCAUGUGACAAGCAACGGUAGUGCACUGUUUGAAGAAGUCAUUCGGGAAGUACUCGUGCAAAAAGACGGGAAAGCAUGGCUCUUGCUCCAUAGGUUCUCCAGCGUAUGUUGGCUUAACAGCCCUUAUGUUUCCUUUGGGUUUCCUAUUGUUGCAGCUGCGGUGUUUUCUCCCUUGUUCCAUCUUUGGCCUUGUGGCUUGUGGUUUUGGCUUCCUUGUCCUUUUGUAGGUCACCAAGGUUCAUCCUUCUUCAUCGUUGGUAAGUGCAUCUUGGUUGCUUGCCCCCAGUGAUGGUUGUGCAAAAGGUGUCGUGCAACUUGAGUAUUGACGAGAAUGGUCAGGUGUCACUUGGAGAGGCACGGGAUCGAAGGAUCCAAACGUAAUUGUAGUAGUAUGUGUUGCACCUGUGUCUUCAAGGUCAAGCUCGAUUUGCCCUUGUUAUGCUAACUUCAUGAUGAGUUCUUUAAGGAUGAAGCACUUACCAACAGAAUGGCUCACGAUAAGAUGAUACUUGCAGUACUUAUGAUCGUUUACGCGAUUAAUCUCCUCAUGAGGCUUACAUUCGGGUAGCUCGAUUACCUUCUUUUCUAGCGAGUCGUCUAACAUUGCGGCCAUAUCUGAGUUAGGAAAAUGGUACACCUUCUACUCCAAUUCCCUCAAGGUGUUUUUGUACCUGUCUUGGGUGAGAGAAGGCUCACCUCUCUUUAUCUCAUUUACUUUGUCCUUUGAGAAGAUCUUGAUAAGCGCAGAUGAGGUCUUGAUGGGGGUAGUGUUAAUGGUAAAAGCUUCCUUAACAGGUUUCUGCCCAGUCUUGUCUACAUUCGGGGCAAACACUUUAUCCUUCUUUAAGUCGGUGAUCGGCUCAUUCUUCUUGUGAUUGGCGAUACUCAGCUCCAUGUCGUGGGAACGAGUUACCAACUCCUCAAAUGUUCUUGGUUUUAUGCCUUGAAGGUUGUAAUGUAACCCCUAAUGCAUGCCUUGAACGCACAUCUCAAUGGCAGAGGUUUCAGAAAGUCAAUAGUUGCAAUCCAGACUUUAUGAACGCCAUAUAUUGAUGUAGUCGACAACAGGUUCAUUCUUCCACUAUUUCGUACUGGUCAGCUCUAGCAUGCUUACAGUGCGGCGAGUGUUGUAGAAGUGGUUAAGGAACUCCCUCUCUAGCUGAUCCCAAUUGUUGACAGAUUCGGGCUCGAGGUCGGUGUACUAGUCAAAGGCGUUACCUUUCAACGAGCGCACAAACUGCUUGACGAGAUAGUCUCCCUCCAUUCCAGCAUUGUUGCAUGUUUCAAUGAAAUGGGCGACAUGUUGCUUUGGGUUUCCUUUUCCAUCGAACUGCAUGAAUUUUGGUGGCUGAUAACCCCUCGGCAUCUUCAAAGUGUCAAUCUUCUUGGAGUAGGGCUUUGAGUAUAGUACGGAGUCGUGUAAACUUCCUUCAUACUGCAUCUUGAUGGUGUUGGUGAUCAUCUCCUGCAGUUGCUGGAUAGAGAAAGAUCCCAUGAGCGCUGCUACUUGGUCUGGCUAUAGCUUUGUAUCGACUUUCUCCAUCGGAGGCUCCUCUUCUUCGCCGACUCAUUUCUUUGGUGGAUCAACCUUUGGGUCGGGGUUCUCGCCGUCCUGUGCCUCCAGUCGGUUAGCGAGCGCAGCGAUUUGCAAAUCUUUUUCUUCCAUAGUCCGUAUUAGCCUUACAAUCGCUUCAUUCAUUUAAGUUAGCUGCUCAUCAAUUGAAGUCGCUCCAGUGGUCAUGACUAGCAUUGCUGAGCUACUACUUGAGUCGGCAUCGAAAAGCACGAAAUCGGAGUACUUCUUCAAAUUUUCCUCUCUUAGUGCUUUUAGUGAGGCCAGGGUGAUCACGAGCUUGUGCCUCUGAUGCUCUUGCUCCAUCGGCAGAGUUAAUGUAGGGGUGGAAGAAGCGGCAGAAAGAGCUCUUGUCUUGCUUCGAGUUAUGAUGCCCGAAGUGACACCAUUUACGGCGAAGACGCUCUUAUUUUUCACAUUGGUUACAGGAAUCGCUUGAACCUUCCUUGAUGCCAUUUGUGCUUUUUGCGGAUUUAAAGAUAGAGAUGAAAGGUAGAGAUUGUCCCACUGGGCGUGCCAAAUUUGUAAACACGGAAAUUCCUGUGAUGAAUAAGACAAGAACACGUGUACAAAAUAAUAUUUGUAUUAAUGAUUUAGGGGUUACAAUCUCUUCUACAAAUUUAACCUCUGAUUCGAUCUUUCGUAAUGUGCAGAUUUGUGGAUUGUGAUGUUGAUCCAAGGGCCUUCAAGGCUUGAUCUUAGGAUGAACAGGUGAUGAACGAUGAACGCUUUCUUCAAGGGGACCGUCGGGGUUUAAUCUUGAAUUGUGGAAGUUCUUCAAGGGUCGUUGGGGCUUGAUCUUAAAGGAGGAUUUGGCGGAAGUUCUUCAAUGGCCGUUGGGGCUUGAUCUUGAAUGAGGAUUUGACGAAGAACGAAGAGAGCUUUCUUGAUCAUUCGGGAUUUGCAAGAGAGCUUUGGAGUUUCAAAACUUCAAGGUUUUGGUGUGAUGUGAAUUGGUUAUCAAUUGGUUUUUCUGAAAUGAAUGCAUUGGCUUCCUAUUUAUAGAAUUCCAAAACUUGAUUUUUAGAUUUAAAUAAUCAGAUGAAAUAAAUCAUUUCUGUCAUGUGUUGACACGUGUCCUAUUUGAUGACUUUUCAGAUGAUUUUCGAUUUUUCGUUGAGUUACAUGCUACGUGUAAAAUUUAUGUGACAGAUGAACGUUGGAAUUUUAAUUAUUGAUCAACAUUUAUUUCACCGAAAUUUCGAUGUCUACAGUAGUUUUUAAAUUUAAAUAAUAAAUUAUGUUUAACCCUAUGACCCUUUGGCCCCGUCUGCUGGAGAUGUUUUUUGUUACAGGGUUAUGUUUGGCCUAUGACCCUCUGACCUCUCGGCUGGAGAUGAUAAGAAAUAUAACCCUGCAUUGUUCAUUAAAUUAUUUAUUUGUUCGAGGACUAUAGACCUAAAACGAGUCAUCUAGUCGGAGAUGGCCUAACCUAACACAAGUAACUUUUAACUCCUUCAAACAACCGUAAAAGUCGAAACCACCAAUCUGUACGUCUGCUUUUUUUUCACUUUUCCUUCUACCGUACGACGCCCACCAAAAUAGUAAAACUUACCAUCCAAUCUGAAGGCGCCACGUCAUCAUCCCGUUCUCUUCCAACUUGGAAACCACCGAAGUUAGAGGCUUACAGCCUUACAGAAAUAAAAUAAUCAGAGCCUCAGCCUCCCAAUUCAACCACUCUCUCUCUCUCUCCCGCCCGUCUACGACAGAGAGGUCGACGAGGUUUCUGCGCUCGCUUGCUCCUUGAUUGUAAUCUGUCCGGUUCAUUUCGGGUGAACAAGAUGAGACGCUCAGGUUCGUGUUCCAUCUUUCCAUUUUUCUUUUUUAAUUUAGCUCAAUUGUCGUUGAAUUGUUUGGUUUAGAUGUUUUGACGAUUGGUUUUGUAGUAUUAGUAUCGAUUGCUUUUGUUUCAAUUUUAAAGUCUUUAAAUUUGUUGAAUUUUGUACCUUUUUUAACUUAUUUAUGAUCAUGGAUUUUUGCUAGUAUAGAUCACGUUUGAUUGGAGCUUCAUGCUUUGCAUUGAAUUGAAUUAAAUUGGUUUUAGAAAGAGCUGAAUUCUGUUGAAUUAUAGGAAUACUGGUAAUUUAAAUUAAGAAAGUCUAAAGUUUAGUCGAAAUCCAAAAUCCGAAAGUGGGUUAGUUGAAUUAGUGAAAGUAUUGGAAUAUUGUGUUGCAUGAAAGGGUUAAAGGUUCUGAAUUGUUGAAAAAAUUAGAUUAUUAAACAGGAAAAUCAAUGAGUGAACAGAGUAGGCUUAAAGUUUCUGAUUUGUGGAAAAGAAAUAUAAAAAUUGGAUCUGUUUAAAAUUUUCUUGGUAGAGGGUAAAAAGGGUGCUGGCUUGUUGUAUCCGAAAAGUAGCAAAAGAGGUAUUAGGAGAGUCCAAGGGCUUUGCCCCACACCAAAAGGAAUCUUGGUGGUGGAAUGAGGAGGUACAAGCAAAGGUGAAGGCUAAGAAUGAAUGUUGUAAAGCCUUAUACAAGGAUAGGACCGAUGAAAAUGGUGAAAGGUAUAGAAAAGCGAAGCAAGAGGCGAAGAAAGCUGUGAGAGAAGCUAAGUUAGCGGCUUAUGACGAUAUGUAUAAGCGACUAGAUACCAAAGAAGGAGAGUUUGAUAUCUAUAAACUAGCUAGAGCAAGGGACAAGAAGACAAGGGACCUAAACCAAGUGAGGUGCAUCAAGGAUGAGGAUGGAAAGGUUCUUGCUACAGAGAACGCGGUUAAAGACAGAUGGAAAGGUUAUUUUCAUAAUCUUUUCAAUGAAGGACAUGAAAGGAGUGCUUCUUUAGGGGAGUUGAGUAACUCAGAAGAGUGUAGAAACUACUCUUUUUAUCGUAGAAUCCGGAAGGAAGAAGUGGGUGUAGCUUUGAAGAAGAUGAAGCAUAGAAAAGCAGUAGGCCCAGACGAUAUACCAAUCGAAGUGUGGAAAGUUUUGGGAGAGACAGGUAUAACAUGGCUCACUAACCUUUUCAAUAGGAUUUUGAAAACGAAGAAGAUGCCGAAUGAGUGGCGAAUGAGCACUUUGGUGCCUAUCUACAAGAAUAAGGGCGAUGUACAAAAUUGCAUGAACUAUAGGGGUAUUAAGCUAAUGAGUCAUACAAUGAAGCUCUGGGAGAGAGUCAUUGAGCAUAGAUUGAGGCAAGAGACACGGGUUUCGGACAACCAAUUCGGGUUCAUGCCAGGGCGCUCAACCAUGGAGGCAAUCUAUCUCUUACGAAGAUUGAUGGAAAGAUAUAGAGAUGGGAAAAAGGAUUUACACAUGGUCUUUAUAGAUUUGGAAAAAGCGUAUGAUAGGGUCCCAAGAGACAUUCUUUGGAGGAUUUUAGAGAAGAAAGGAGUACGAGUAGCAUAUAUCCAAGCUAUACAGGAUAUGUAUGAAGGAGCAAAGACUGCCGUAAGAACUCAUGAAGGACAAACCGAAAGCUUUCCCAUAACUGUAGGAUUACAUCAAGGCUCAUCCUUAAGUCCUUACCUUUUUGCGUUGGUAAUGGAUGAGUUAACAGGACAUAUUCAAGGUGAUAUUCCUUGGUGUAUGCUUUUCGCAGACGAUAUAGUGUUGAUAGAUGAAACUCAGGAAGGGGUAAAUGCAAAGCUUAACCUUUGGAGAGAAGUGUUGGAAUCUAAAGGUCUUCGCCUAAGCCGAUCAAAGACAGAAUAUAUGGAGUGCAAGUUCAGUGCAAAUGGAGGCCAAAACGAGUUAGGGGUGAGGAUCGGAGAUCAAGAAAUACCAAAGAGCGACCGUUUUCGUUACCUAGGAUCUAUCUUGCAAAAGAACGGAGAAUUAGAUGGAGAUCUCAACCAUAGAAUACAAGCUGGAUGGAUGAAGUGGAAGAGUGCAUCCGGCGUGUUGUGUGACCGCCGUAUGCCACUGAAGCUCAAGGGAAAAUUUUAUAGGACGGCAAUAAGGCCGGCGAUGCUGUAUGGCACAAAAUGUUGGGCGGUGAAGCAUCAACACGUACACAAAAUGGGUGUAGCGGAGAUGAGGAUGCUUCGUUGGAUGUGUGGGCACACGAGAAAGGAUAAGAUUAGGAAUGAGGAUAUCCGGGGUAAAGUAGGAGUAGCCGAAAUUGAAGGAAAGAUGAGAGAAAAUCGGUUACGGUGGUUUGGACAUGUGCAAAGAAGGCCUACUGACGCUCCGAUUAGAAGAUGCGACUAUGGGACAGAGGUUCAGGGCCGAAGGGGCAGAGGAAGACCUAGGAAAACUUUGGAAGAGACCCUAAGAAAAGACUUAGAGUACUUGGAUCUAACGGAGGACAUGACACAGGACAGAACACAAUGGCGUUCUAAGAUUCAUAUAGCCGAUCCCACUCAGUGACUUGGAUUUUCCAAGUCUCCAACCAAGAAGUUUUCCUCACUCGGAAAAUUAAGGGAACACUACCUCAACCUAUAUGCCCCACUCACAAAGCUUCAUCAUACAAGCUUCAACAAAAGAAAAUUCAAAGAACUUAACGAAGAAGGCUUUGGUGUAUUUAACACAAUACGUUGAAAUGAAGGAAAGCUUAUUUAUUGAUAUCCCCGAUAAGUUACAAAUAUGUACAUAUACUUGAGUCAAAAUAAACAAACAAGAGGGAGCCUUCACAAAGGUUGCUUAGGAGAAGUCUCAGCAGUCGGUAGAGCCCCAGAAAGAGAAGGCACCGGAGGAGGAUCAUUUGGAGCCUCAGUACUGGACAAAACCCUAGAAGGAGGAGGCAUCAGAGGUUGAUCAUUUGGAGCUUCAUUGCGCGGUACAGCCCCAGAAGACGAAGGCAAUAAAUGCCUUUGGAACAAACCCACAAAUCUCUGAUGAUCAAGUAAAACCUGACCAUCAGAUUCCUUCAUCUGGUCAAGCUUCCUCUUCAUGUUUGUAGCAUAGUCAUGUGCGAGCCGGUGCAACUGUUUAUUCUCAUGCUUGAGCCCUCUAAUCUCCUGUUUGAGACUCAUCACUUCAGCCGCCAAUGAUUCAACUUGGCGGGUUCGAGCAAAUAGGCGUUGGGCCAUAUUAGACACAAAACCUGCACACUGAACACUGAGAGCCAGAGAAUCCUUAACAGCCAACUCAUCAGACCGUUUGGAAAGUAGUCUGUUAUCUUUGGGAGUGAGAAGGUUCCUGGCCACUACCGCAGCGGUCAUAUCAUUCUUCAUCACAGAAUCCCCAACGGUAAGAGGACCAGUAGGGGAGACGAAGGAUGGGCGCCAUAUGUUGUCUGGAGAAGGCGGGGCUGCCUCUUCAACAAGGUUCAAGUCAAAACGACGGUCGGAGGGGCCAGACAUUUUCAAAGGUGUUGAAGAGAGAAGAGGUCGGACAAAUCAAGAUCUUAGAAGUGCAAGAAUGGAGCUUCUACUGGUGGAUAUUCAAGUGUGCUUUGGAACUUAAUGUCAGCCCCUAUAAAAAUCUGCACUCGACGAAGCUUCAGAAAUCGAAGAGGCGCCUGCUCAGAAAUCGAAGAGGCGUUUGCUUUCUCAAAAGCUGGGCUGCUCAGAGACCACGAGGGUCGAUCUCAGAAAUCGAAUAGGCGUUUGCUUUCUCAAAAGCUGGGCUGCUCAAAGACCACGAAGGCCGAUCUCAGAAAUCGAAGAGGCUUGCUUUCUCAAAAGCUGGGAUGCUCAGAGACCACGAGGGCCGAUCUCAGAAAUCGAAGAGGCACCUACUUUUCCAGCCUUGUCAGCACCUGUCACACGCACACUCAGCUUUGCGGAAAUUAUGGGCAUUCUGUCGAAGAUUUCUGACGAAGUAGAAAGCACAUGAAUCGUACUGUUCAAUCACCCACUUCCCACACGCAACAGUAGCUCAGGGGUACCACAGAUAACUGGGCCAAAGUUCUCUGACAAAGUUGAGACACGUGAAGCUUGCAGCUCCCACUACAUCGCUCUGACCAAGAAGGGUAAAAGAAUUGCAAAGAAACAACACUAACAAAGUUUAAACACAUAAAUUUUGAAGGUCUAACUACCAUAUUAUUACCCACAAGGGUAAAGGAACAGUACCACUGCUGGAUAAUUGGAAAGUCCCGGUGUGUCAACCUCUGUGCUUCGUGGCAAGGUAGACUAGCAAACAUGCCCAACCUGUACUCACAUUCGAGAAAACACUCCUAACAAGAUUGCUUGCUCCAAAAUCGAAGAGGCACCGCCCUCCGAAUCUCGAGAGCCAGACUCCCAACAUGAUUACUUUCUCAAAAAUCGAAGAGACACCGCUCUCCGAAUCUCGAGAGCCAGACCCCCAGCAGGAUUGCUUUCUCAAAAAUCGAAGAGGCAUCGUUCUCCGAAUCUCGAGAGCCAGAUCAGAUCCCGACAGGAUUGCUUGUUCGAAAAUCGAAGAGGCACCACUUUCCCAACUUCAAGAGCUGGAUCUCCUUGGAUAAAGCUUGUCUGUAAUCUUCACACGCAACAUCAGCUUUCCAGAUACCACAGACCACUUUUUCAAAGUGCUCUGACAGAGUUAAAACAUGUGAAGCUGGCAGCUCCCACUACCGUGCUAUAACCAAGCAGGGUAAAGGAAUAGCAUUAUUACUUGAUGUUAGGGAGACUCCUAUAUAUGUCGACCUCCAUCCCUAACGGACAGGCAGACCUGCAAAAAUGCUCAACCCUUUCUCUUAUCUGAGAGGGCACUCCCAACGAAGCCUCUUGAAAUAUUCAGCUUUCUUUCCCCCCGAUAAUACCUCUAUAAACAAGCUAUACUAGAGCAAGAAUAUCUCAUAUCAUCAGGGUUAAAAGCAAGAGUAUCCCAUAUCAUGCUUUUUCCCUGUCUUUUCCUUUGGCCUUGUUCUUACCUGCAAGACAAGGAGAAAGAGAGCAAUCAGUCAGCACUUGGAAUCAAGCUUCCAGCCAGGAACUGACUGCCUGGAACCCCUUACCUGAUUACUUACCUGGCAUUGCUCUCGAGUACUCAUCUUCAACAUCUUAUGCUUCCAGGGAAGAUACCGCAUCUGCCUGAGGAACAAAUAGGGCAAGUGAGAAGGAUACAAGGAAGCAUGUGGAGACAAGCGUAACAGCACACGUGCCGAUACAUCCACUACUCUGUCAAAAGCAAAAGUAUCCCAUAUCAGCAGGGUCGAACGUACUCUAGAUUUGAUGGACUUGUUUUGACCCUCAAAUUCUUCAGUCGGCCUUAUACUCUGGAGGAAACCAGAAAACCCUCCAGCCCAGUUCAAGAAUAAGCCUGUGGAAAGUUACUUCUUCAAAAGCAAAAGUAUCCCAUAUCAUCUCUCCUCAUUUUUCUUCUCUUUAUCCUUCAUGCGGCCUGCAAGAUAGGGAGAAUGUGAACAAUCAGCCGGAGCUCUGAUUGCUUACCUUGUCUGUCACCUCUUUCAGCAGAUCCCCUAGCUCGGCGACUUGGGGGACUCCUACUACAUGGUUUGUAUCGCGCUUGACCAAGCAUGAAACUACAAGUAAGCUUCAAGUGAAAUUGAUACAUUACCUUGUGCAUCUCCACCAGUUACAGAUACCACCCCUGGAUGGAGGAAGAGUACUUCCAGAGAAGAUGCCACAUCUACCUAUGAGACAGAUAAGGCAAGUCAAGACGAUACCACACUCCGGUACUUAGAAGUUCCGUGGCUACGAGAUCAUUCUCCCACAAUAUUUCCUAAUGUCAUUUGUACUAAAUCAUUCACUUGUACUCACUAAAGGAGAGCUUGAACCUAUGUACUUGUGUAAACCCUUCACAAUUAAUGUGAACUCCUCUAUUCCGUGGACGUAGCCAAUCUGGGUGAACCACGUACAUCUUGUGUUUGCUUUUGUGUAAACCCUUCACAAUUAAUGAGAUCUCCUCUAUUCCGUGGACGUAGCCAAUCUGGGUGAACCACGUACAUCUUGUGUUUGCUUUCCUAUCUCUAUCCAUUUAUAUACUUAUCCACACUAAUGACCGGAGCAAUCUAGCGAAGAUCACAAAAAGUGACCGUUUUCGCUACCUAGGAUCUAUCUUGCAAGAGAACGGAGAAUUAGAUGGAGAUCUCAACCAUAGAAUACAAGCUGGAUGGAUGAAGUGUAAGAGUGCAUCCGGCGUGUUGUGUGACCGUCGUAGGCCACUGAAGCUCAAGGAAAAAUUUUAUAGGACGGCAAUAAGGCCAGCGAUGUUGUAUGGCACAGAAUGUUGGGCAGUGAAGCAUCAACGUACACAAAAUGGGUGUAGCGGAGAUGAGGAUGCUUCGUGGGAUGUAUGGGCACACGAGAAAGGAUAAGAUUGGGAAUGAGGUUAUCCGAGGUAAAGUAGGAGUAGCCAAAAUUGAAAGAAAUAUGAGAGAAAAUCGGUUCCGGUGGUUUGGACAUGUGCAAAGAAGGCCUACUGACGCUCCGGUUCGAAAAUGUGACUACGGGACAGAGGUUCAGGGCCGAAGGGGUAGAGGAAGACCUAGGAAAACUUUGGAAGAGACCCUAAGAAAAGACUUGAGUACUUGGAUCUAACGGAGGACAUGACACAAAACCGAGCGCAAUGGCGUUCUAGGAUUCAUAUAGCCGACCCCACUUAGUGGGAAAAGGCUUUGUUGUUGUUGUUUUAUCUGAGAACCCUUCUUUGCUCUCUUCUUUUUAACAUCUCCAUCUUUGCACGCUCCUUUAGUCAAGAAGACGAAGAUGGAAAAGUUACUGAGCAGCCCAAACUAAUUGCCAAUAUCACAUUCUGUCAAACGUUUGCAUUUUAGACAGGUUUCAUCAGAUCUUUAGUCUUGUGGCAAAACUUUCCAUCUUUUCUUAACCAUGAUUAACAGGGCCCAAUGAGAAUUGUGGGAAAAUAAUGCUUACUUCAGCGAUGGCUUUUCAGUGGUUGGAACACACGGAUGACCUCUCAAAUAGAGAGGCAAGUUUCGAAGCCUCUUCAGUAUUUUCUACACCCCCACUCAUGGGUUACAGAUGGGAAGAGAACCACCUAGGGUUCUCAAACUCUCAGUCAGCUGGUUUAUGCUGCACGCCCCUCAGGAGCUUUGUAAAAUUUAUCCUACUCAAGUCUUGGAUACUCCCUGAACCACACAUUACUUAAUAAACCUUGCUUUAAGUUGAAAUACAUUUCGGAUUUGGGGCUAUCUGGUUUUGUUAUUGCAAUACUACAGACAUUAGUAGUUGUACAAUGUGUUCUUCUAAUGCUUUAAAUAGUAACCUAUUUGAAUAUUGCUUACACAUUUUGUUGAGUUGGCGUUCCAUAUUAUCUGUGCUUAUAACUACUUUAAUCUUAAUCUGUUCAGCCAUUAAAGCAGCUAAUAAAGAGUUGGAACGUAUUGAUGCUGUCUUUAUUUCAUAUGAAAAUGCGUCUUCUGGUUUGAUUGAGUAAGUCUACUGCACAGGAUACUUGUCAUAAUUUGUGGAUUUUGUUAUUACUUUUGUUGCAGCUGUUCAAAAUGUUAUUACAUUUUUCCUUUUCACAGAUUUAGUGCAUUUUCCAGAUGGUAGUUGAGAAUUUCAUGAGAAUAUUUUGAUAUCAGGAUGAAUAAAGUAUUGGGGUUUGAACAGUUUGUCAUCUCAUUAAUUUUUAGGGGCAUCUUUUAGGGAGUGAAUGGAAACGGAUGGAUCACCAUCUUUGUAGUAACAUAAGAACAUUGUUGGUUAUUCCCCUCAUGGUGACAUCUUAUAUUUAGGGAAGUGCACCCUUUUUACCCUCUACCUCACUCCUGUUUAAUCUUGAUCGUUGAUUCUGUUUGAUUUUCAAUUUGAUGGCCAUAAAUAAAGAAGGGUGUCUAAGAAGCUAAAAAGGGUGUGUGAAAAUCACUUCCCUGUGAUUAUUAUUCAACAGAAAGGGUUGUUAUUGAAUGACCCAAUUCUCUCUGUCCAGAAAAUCUGCAGGCACCAAUAGAAUUGCAUUAUGUUCAAAUACCAGAUAAAACAUCGAAAUCAUUGUUUUUUUCUUAUAGAAGGGAGAAGAAAACUAGUAUUGUUUUAUAGCAUUUCAAUUAGAAUCAAAUUGUAAUCAUAUUUGUAUCAACUCCACCUUAAUAAAAUUUUCCCAUGGAGAAGCCGUACUUUUUAAAUGCACGCACACCUUUGCUAGUGGAAAAUUUGAUGUUCCCUUAUGACUUAUUAGUUAUUUCGUGCUCUUUGAACAGCCCAGAGGGAAUCGAACGUCUUUGUUCAGAUUUGGAAGUUGACCAUACCGAUGUAAGGGUCUUGAUGCUUGCCUGGUAAGUUCGGUUUGGAGUAAUUUGGUCCUCACUUCGAUAUAUCCUUGAUUUGAAUUGUCAAAGCUAAUGGACUAUGUAUGCCAGGAAAAUGAAAGCUGAAAAACAAGGAUACUUUACCUUGGUAAGCAGCACUUUCUCAUCUGCAUAUCAAAGUACUUUUACGUUCUUUUGUUUUUUGUCAUGGAAUUAUCACUUACUCCAUUUAUCAAUUUGUUGUAUGGUUCCACAAUUUAUUUCAUUCAUCUAGCAUCUAACCUCUACCUUGUUAAAUUGUUUUUGAUAAUUGGAUUUUCUCUUAGUUUUGGACCUUCUCACUUUUUUUUCAAAUGCCAUGUGUCAUUGUUUACCCAAAAAAAAGAAAAAGAACUUUAAUGCUUUUGUUUAGGAAUUAAAGAUGGAAAAAAAAAAGUAUAAUUUCAAAUUCAUUAAUGCCUUGCUUUUUGUGUAAAAAUGACACAUGGCACUUGUUAAAGUGGAAAGGUCCAAAUGCAAAGGUUAGUGCAAAGUAGACCCAGCAGUUUCUGACAUGACACGAUGGCACAACACGAAAAUAACGGGUUUCGGGUUAACACGAUAAGUUAUCGGAUCAUUAUCGGGUGACCCGUUAAGAACCCGUUAAUAACGGGUUCUGAAUGGGUAUACACGCGGGUAACACGUGGAUAACCCGUUUCGACCCGUUAAGAAAAAAAUUAUUUUGAUAAUUUUAAAGUUUAAUUACUAAAGGAUUUAUUAUAAAAUAUAAUAGCCAUAUUAAUAUAUACAAUAUAUUCUAUACUAAAUAUAUAGUUUUGUAUUAUUAUUCUAUAUAAGUUAAAAAAAAAAGUUUUAGUCAGUGUUUAUUUUUAUUAUGACUAGGAUAAAUUUUACUUAACAUGUUGUCCAAAAUUAAAAUAAACUAAUAUAGUAUUUGUAUAGGCAAGAACUAAGAAGACAUACAUACAAGUAUGAAAAAUGUGAAAGAAUAUAUAAACACUCGUGAUUCAUCAUUAUUCCUCCACGAGUAGAUAAUGGUUACACCUAUAUUAUCGUUUAGAUUUUUUAAAUCCUCCAAACCUUCAUGAAUAAUGUUUUUUAUUUGAGGGUAAAAUUAAUAAUAAUUAUUGUAGAAGUGUAAAAAAUGUAAAAAAAAAAUAUACAAUCACUCAUAGUGACAAACUUUACAACUUUCAUGAUGAGGUCAGCUUUGAAAUCCAACACUAUAAUUCAUAAACCUUAAAUUUAUAUUUAACCGUCAAUUGCCAUUUACACUUUAUUCUUCUUACUGAAUUUCAUUUUUAAAAUUUUCUUUUUUGAAAACAUGAUCACCUGGCUGAUGUAAGAAGAUGAACGGUUCAGAUCUUUGAUAUCACGUUUCGAUAUUUACGAUUAACUGAAAUAUGAGUCGAUGUCAUGUAGUUUGUAGAAACUUUAUAAACAUCAAGUAAUAUUUUCACUAACCGUAAAACUCUUAAUAUAAUAUCAACGAUCCAAACCGUUCAUCUUCCUGCAUCCUCUGAUAGAUCAAGUUUUCAAAAAAGAAAAUCUGAAAAAAAAAAAAAAAAAAUUUGAUGAGAACAAUAAAGCGUAAAUGUAAACAACAAUCAACGGUUAAAUUUUGAUCUAUGAUUUAUAUGAUUAUAGUGGCGAAUUUCGAAGUUAAGCUCUUUAUGAAAGUUGUAAAGCUUGUCAUUACGAGCGUUUAUAUAUUUUUUUUAUAUUUUUUCACACUUCUACAUUAAUUAAAAAAUCAUUAAAGACUUAGGUAAGUGAAAAUAUACUUAAAAGAAAAAUAUGUUUUUAUGUUUUGAAUGUGACAAUAUAGUAUGUAUAUACUUAUUUAGUAUUAUGUUUUUCAUUUGAUUAUUUAUUGGUUUAAAAUAUAUUUUCCUUAACGGGUAACGGGUCGGGUCAUUUUAUCUGUUUAUUUUAACGGAUGUUACACGACACGACCCGUUAAGAUAUCGGGUAUGACAUGAACACGGAAGACACAACACGAAUGCCAGGUCUAGUGCAAAGGUUUGUUGUUGUUUUACACGUCUGGGUGUGUUUACUCGAAGAGAUUUAUAUGUAUAUACAUGGAGUCCUUGGCUUCAAAGGGGAAUGGAGUCCUAUUUUAUGAAGCUAUAGGAAUAAGGAAAAUAUAUACAUAAAUAUGUGUGCGUGUGUAUUAUAUUUAUUUACAUGCAUAUGUACACAUAUGAGGACAUGUGUCCAUACAGACAAAUCUGUAUACUCUAUACGAACAUAUAGACACUCAGCUACAUAUAUAUAUACACAGAUCAAAUGACACUCGGGUUAAGUUGUCAAGCUUUACAGUGGUGAAUAACCUUUUAAAGGAUUACUGUAGUGUUUUUUUUUUUUUUUUUUUUUUUUUGGUCAAAUGUAGUUCGUGUGGACUUUAUGCUCCAAUAAUGCUGACCACAAUGUAAAAUCCAAAGUCAAUUCCAUACUUAACCGUUCGAUUCUUGUUCUAUUAGAAGUCGCAUAUUUCUUGAUAUACUUUUCUGGUAAAAAUUGAAACUUGAUGUGGAACGUUCUCAUAGUCAUUACUCUAACCGUUCCAUUUGUUUCAUGACGUUGCCAAUCUCCUCGUUGAUAGGAAGAGUGGCGAGUAGGUCUUAAAGGACUAAGGGUGGACAAUGUAAAUAAAUUAAAGAAGGCACUUCCAGAGCUAGAGAAAGAGGUAGAUUUUUAAAAUUGCUUUCCUUUACUAUGGCAAUUUAAUUGUUUAACCACAUUGACAUCACUUUAACGAAAAACCACAUUUUUACAUUAAAAUGUCAAACCUAAUACUAUUCACUUUACCCUUUAUUUUGUCCUUAUCAUUAAAACUCAAAGUUUUCAAGCCCUUUUCAUUAGUUUUCCUUUUAUUAUAUUAUGAAUAGGUCAGGAGGCCAUCAAACUUUGUGGAUUUCUAUUCCUAUGCAUUCGAAUAUUGUUUAACAGGUAACAAGCUCAAUGUGUCUUUUAUGGUUAAAUCUUGUAACGUAAUUGAUUUUUCCUUUUGCUUUUACCUUUUCGUAUAUGUAUUAAUAUCAGCCAUCUGUAAUUUUCUUUUGUCAUUUACAGAGGAGAAACAGAAGAGCAUAGAUAUAGACAGCAUAUGCGAGUUAUUAAAUAUUGUUUUAGGAUCUCAAUACCAUUUGCAGGUUGACUUAUUUACUCAGUAUCUAAAGGUGAGUAGCUGAAAAAUAUUGCUUUAGUAAUGAACUGGUUUUCCGUUUAGUCGGGGAAGUGAUUCUUAAAUAUGCAAUUGUUCUAAAUCUUUAGUGAAGAUGAUGGGGAUCCUUUUCUCUCAAUUUCUUCAUAUGUAGUCCAAUAUCUUGUAUCUAUUCACAUUGGCGUAACUACCACCUUCACUGAAAAGAGAACUGACUGUAAAUGUAAGAUUCUAAUUGCUUUGUUUUCUAAACGCAGAUCCAGAAUGAUUACAAAGUCAUAAAUAUGGAUCAGUGGAUGGGCUUUUACCGGUUUUGCAAUGAGGUAAUCUUACACGUUGGUCGCUUAUUUGAACACCUGCUUUGUUUCUUUUCGUUUUCCUUAUUGACUACUAUAUCGCAUGCCUGUCCACAUAUUCACUACUAGUCACGUCUUAUCUCUUAAAUGCUGCUCUAUAUGUUAGCUAGUAUUUUAUCAUUACAAGCCUUUGCACAGAUAAGUUUUCCAGACCUUAGCAACUACGACCCUGAACUUGCAUGGCCUUUGAUCCUCGACAAUUUUGUUGACUGGAUACAAGAUAAGCAGAGCCAGUGCUGAUAAUUUUCGGUGAACCUGAGCCUCUGCUGUAAACCCUACAAUUCUUGGUGAAGCACUCUUCGAAUCCUUGUUUUUUUCAGUGAGAUGUUAUUUUGGCACCGGCCCUGAAUUUUACUGUGAUUGGCCUUUUUGCAGGACAGUUAAGACACAAUCAAAUGGCCUCAGGACUUUAUUUUUCUUCAUUUUAUUCUCUUGCAAAUAUAGGAUUUACCUUUGGAAAUUGCAUGUUUGUGAUAUGUAUAUAGUUGCUAAAAUCUCGUUGAAUGUUAUAAACUUAUAGCACAGCUUCCAUAGUUUAUUCUGUUGAAUGUCCAACUAAUGCUGUAAGUUACUUGAGUUGAUCAAGUUGAAGCCACUGAAUUAUGUUACUUUAGUGUGAAGAGAUUUUAUCAUGAAGGUGUUUGAUAGAAUAAAAGCACUUAUGAAACUCGAAAUUUCGUUUUAUCACUUUUUGAUAUUAUAAUACACGACCUUUUUGAAAAUUUUCAAUAAAAAAGAAUUGAUUUCACUAAACGGACGGUAAAGAAAUAAUAAAGAGACUCAAAUAUCAAUAAGACGCGUUUCAUUGCCUGUUUAGUGCCCUUUUAGUGACAGAAGUUGACUUUUGAUUGAAUUUUUGUAAAAUGUUCGACUUUUGACAAAAGUUUUAUUUAUGUGCAUUUCUCAACUAUUUUUUCAGGAGUAUUGCGCGGAGAGACAAUUAGGCGUAUCAAAUACAACCAUUGAUCAACAAAAACACAAAUUUGCCUGUGCAAAUGUUUGAUAUUUAUCGGUAGGAUCGGAAUGGAGUCAAAGACAAAAAAUUCAAACUUCGGUGUAAGAGGGUAAACAGUGCCUCCACUUUACACAAGAAUUUUCUAAUUUGGUCCAACAAGUCCUGAAGUAGUUGUAUAUUUGUAAACCUCAUUGAGUCAAAAGACGGGGAAAAUAUGACAAUAAGAUGAAGAAACUAGAGGAAGAAAGAAAGAGACAGAAAUUUCACUUCGAAUACCAAACCAGGAAUAGCAAGAGAACGUGAAGGGCAUAUUGUGGGGCAUUCAACUUUCUUUCCUAUAGGAAAAGCCACUUUAAACAAAAGCACUUGGGUCCUAAGUUUCUAACCCAUACUCUCGUAUGAGAGGGAGCACAAUGUUCCUAGUUGUAGGCUUCCUUUAUUCCAAAGUGAACCUUCUUCAAGAAAACCAGACACACCUUUCAAAGUGUUAGUAUAAUACCCUAACUAACUGACCUAACUCACAUCUACGACCCUUCACUUUCUUUAAUCUUCACAAAUUUGGUAAAUACUUUACUUUCCUAAAGUAACACAUACAAACCACAAAAGAACGGAAUUGCAAUAAUGUGUCGACAAUUUGUUGGAGGGUUAUUGACAUUUAUCGUCAUGUUUUCGAUGAAAUCAACUGAGUAAGUUCAUUAUCAAUUCAUCAUCCUAAGAGCAAAGAUGUCCAAGUGGUAGAAUUUGCCAAGUCACUUGAGCCAGGUAGAAGAAAAUCACACAAGGCCAACUUAGGAAACCUUGCAGGGGCAGGAAAAGAAUCAAAAGAUAACAGAAACAAGAACUUGACUUUGCCUCUUAUCUUUAAGCAAUUUUCUAGAAAAUAAAUAAACUCUGCUGCAAAUUUCAACCAUCAAGAGGAUGAAGAAGCAAUAAUCAAAGGCGAAGAGGGAGGACGUGGGCGUCUUGUUCUGCUUCUACCCCUGCGCAAUGUAGUGCCAGAAGGAGAGGAUGGUGAAGAUGAAGGAGAAUUAGAAGAUAUUGCCACAUUGUUUGACUGGCUUGUUAACUUGUUCUUAUCUCCGUCAUCGGCCUUAUCUUCGAUUCUAUGAACUUUGGCCAAAUUUUUUAAAGUCACUGGAAGAACACAAUUGCAGAGGAAGCCUGCAUAUUAAGGAAUGAUUGGUUACCAAUAGUAUUAAAAACGUAAAACUUUAAGAAGUAGAAUGCAGCAUUUUCUGAAAAGAAUGAUUUCAAGACGAUCAUUUUUUCGAAGAGUGAAGAAAGUUGAGAUUCUACCCUAAAAUUAAUUGGCUAUAUGGGGAGUAACCCAGCUUACUUACAAAUCCAAGAAAGGUCCCUUCUCCAUGUGCGAUUCAUUCUCAACACGCCCCUCAUGUGUGGCGAAUUUUCAAGCCUACACGUGGACAAAACAAACGGGGUGACGUGGAGCACGUCGUGUGGUCAUUGGGCAUCACACAUGGGACAACCUGCUAUGAUACCUUGAAGAAAGUUGAUGUUCCACCAUAAAACCAAUUGGCAAUAUGGGGAGUAACCCACUUAUGUAUAAACCCAUGCAAGAUCCCUCCGCUCCUUCCAUCAAUGUGGGAGUGGGAUUCAUUCUCAACACUAAGUGCAUUCUAGCUACUACUACUACUUCUUAGAUGAGCUCCAAGCUCAUGUUAUCAAAACUUGCCCUUCUGGUUUUAUAACUAAAAUGUUUGAUCCGCAUAAACUAAAUGAACAAAAGAAAAGAACUUCUUUCUUACCGAUUCUAGCAAGCCGAUUAACCCAACUUGGAAUUGGAUUUCCAGUCAAUGUGAUACAUGCAUCAUUGCAGAAAUGGUUGCAGUUCUUGGUGACCAAAUUGUAGGCAUUUCCUUUGUAUUUCGCUGCAAGACCUUCCCACACUGCCCUCACUUCUAAAGGCCCAACAAUCGUCUUCCCGACCAGAAUCGAUUUCCUAAAUGUAAACCCAUCACACUUUUUCGGUUCUCCUUCAAAAAUUCCAGAUGUUGGAUACUCGUGAGCUCCAAAUGCAUACUCCACACCAUGCACUGCACAAGUAAAUCCAAUCAAAAACCUCAAUAACCAUGGAAAAAAUACAAUAAAAUGGAAAAACAUUUCAAAUAUCCUGUAGAGCUUGUUGUAACUGGAAACUAAAGUGGAAAAUAAUUCAUGAACCUUCGAUUUCUUACCAGAAGUUGGCAAGGAAAUUAGCAGUUGUUUAUCACACUAACAAUACAAUAUUUUCGGAUUCGAGGACUUGAAUGACUCACAUCAAUCCUUUAUCUUGUAUUGCUAAAUCAUUCAAAACCUUGGACUUUUGUUUUUGAAUCAAAAUUUAAAAGCAAAUGGGAUGUAUGUAUAUCCACUACCUAAUCCAAUUGAAGAACAUACAUCUUAAACUACACAUAAUCCAUGGCCAAAGACACAGCAACCAAAAGGUUAAACCCAACUCUUUUCUGCAUUUUCUCAUCUGCCAAACACAAUUAUGUAUAUUUUAUCACCAGCCAAACACAAAGUAAAGUUGGUAGAACUAACCUUGUACACCAGAAUGGUAAACUCCAAGGCCAAGCCAAUAAGCGUAGCCAUUAAAAGGUGAGAGAUCGUAUACAUUGAGGUACACAGGCACCGAUCCACUGUCCUCCUCCUCCUCCUCAAUGGCACUUCUGCACACACUCUUUUUACACAACAUUUUCACUCUCCUUUCUUCCUCUUCGCUUCUGCUGCAUUCACAGACCAAGAAACAUUUUCAGCUGCACAACAACAACAUCCUCCACCAAGAAUGCCAUUGAAUUACAAUACAAUUUCCGAGUUGCUUUUCGGAUUCUAAAUCAUGGGUUUCCUUCUUUGCUUCCAAAAAAUAAUGGGUUUUUAACUGAUCUGCUAAUUGUUCAAGUGGGAGAGGAAAAUUUUGAGAAUCUUCUGCUGAUGGCUGAUGGCUGAUGCCUUGAUGGUUGAUGGGUUCCACAAGUGAAAGUGAGAGGAAGUGCUGCUGCUGCUGCCGCUCUUUGCUGAUGGUUGAUGGUUAAUCAGAAAAUGGUUGGUACAGUGUUAUAUAGAUCUGGGAUCUGUGGAAUAAUUGGGGUUGGAUUUGACUGGAGUUACAGGGGGGAAAAGGGUUAUCCUUAGUUGGUUACAAAUCUGAGCUGGUCUCAGUCUCAUCCCACUUUCAAAAAUUUGAAUUGUUUGGGAGAAAGUAACAUACACUGGUUACGGAACAUAGUGGGUUUCUUUUUCCAUUACACUUAUAAUCUAGCUAUACUAUUAUUUGUACUAUCUUUCUAAUGGGGAUAGAGUCCGUCAAUACAUGUGAGUCUAAUCUCUAUUACAGAGAUGGUACAAGUGAUACUACAAUUAAAUGGUAAGAAUAACAUUUUUGUUUGGGAAAUUUUAUUUGAACCCGUAUAAUCUCUUUUUACACCCAACUUACUCUCCACACCCAUAUUAUUUUUAAUUAAACUAUUAAUAUCUUUUUAAACCCAAUUUUAUUACCUAAUGACACACCCCAACCCGGGAUGUCCACUAGGACUCCGAAUCGAGCUGUGUUGGCCGACACCUGGAGGGUGACGAAGCCAUAAAGUAUGAUGAUGUGGAGAAAUGUGAAUAAAUUUAAACCUAAAAGUGCAUAAAUACAAGAGUGCGCCAUGAGCGGAAAUGAACUCAUUUCACACGUAACGUCAAAGCAUAAGUAAAGUACAUAAGAGUGGAUUGAAAAUCAUACCAUCGAAGGUAAUCUCCAAUACCAAGACUUUCCAAGAAUCCUCGUCGAUACGAAAGCUCUACUACUAGACCUGGAGGGAUAAAAACAAGAGUGAGUGGUCAGAAAAUAGGGCUUUAAUAAAGACUUCUAAACAAUAUAAUCCCUCAUCAUAACAACUAUUUAGCUUCCAAAAAAUCAUACUACGGAUAAAUAUGAAAUUAAAAGUAUACUAACAUUAAAUCCAGAAGUAUACCACGUCACAACAUCUCAUCAGCAAUAUAAAUAAUCAAGUCCUUAAUAACCCAUACUAGCACGCCAGUCGGAGUCACCUAUGGUGACCUGUGCGACUACAACCAUAUCUCAUCAAUCAAUGCUAGCUUAUAAGUCAAAGUCACCUCUAGUGAUAUAUACGACUUAUUCAUAUCUCAUCACAUAUCUUAUUACAUAUGCUAGCUCAUCACAUAUCUCGUUACAUAUGCUAGCUCAUCAUAUAUCUCCUUACAUAUGCUAGCUCAUUACAUAUCUCAUUACAUAUGCUAGCUCAUCACAUAUCCCUGCACACGAGUCGAAACCACCUGUAGUGGUCUGUACGACAGGACUAGGUGUAAAUAAAUACACUCUAGUGCUAGGAUCACGUGAAGACUAUGCGAAUAAUCGCGGGUCACCUAUAGUGGUUUGUACGACAGGCCUGUACACCUACCUUGAAUCCAAGGUGAGCGUAAGGUGCGGGAGGUGAACAUCACGUGAAGGACAGUGCCCUGACCACGGGCGGGAGCACUAACACCGGGGUGCAGGUUUAUAAACUCCACUCACAUCCGUUCAUCACCAAUUAUUACUCAAUCAUACCAACAUUAUAUACUCACCUGAACUUACCUUAACAUCCGUAUUGUGUGAAACACUAUGCGGAUUUGUACCAAAUUACAUACUAAAAUAUAAACUAAUUAUGGCAUGGCAUUUAUAAAACGUAAAACUACAAUUUCUCGUUUCUUCACACAUUGAUUUAUAAUCAACAUUUAAUCACCGAGACGUAAGGUUAAAUCUCGCAUUUUUCACCAGAUUCCUUCAUAUUGCUCAAUUUCUCAAACAAGGCUAUUGUCUCGAUUAUUUAGUCUCAUUUAUGGUAUGGCUGGGUCUAACGUCUCGUUAGACUGUCUACGUACCCUAAUCAAGGAUCAAGUCAUUCGUAGUUCGCAUUAGUACUUCAAAGCAUUAACAGUAAUUAUAUGCAAUAAUCAAUUUCUGACCAUUUUUGUCAAUUGUCAAUCAUAUAUAUAUAUAUAUAUAUAUAUAUAAUAUACGAUAGAAAGGAAAAGACACACUCAUCUGAGGUCUGCGCUACGAUUUCCUAGCAUGCCUAUCGAGACAUCACGAACUAUCGUCGCAUGUGACCAAUUAUCAAAUCACAUCUCAGAGUUCUAACCGAUAGAAUACAUAAUUUACAUAAAACACAUCACUACGUAAUUCAAUUCGGAAGAUCUGCAUCACGGAUUUCUGAUCUGUUGCGUCCAAAGAUCCACAUUAUACUUCUUGAACAACAUCCUAAGGUUUCAUUACGAUCCAACGGUUCGAUCUCCGCUAAUUGCCCAAAACCGAAUGGCAGUCAACAUUUUAUUUUAUGAACUUACAACUCCAAUUCGAGAAGAUCCGUAUGUCGGAUUUCCGAUCCGUAAGUUUAUAUGAUCCUUAAAUAUUACGUACUAUAACAUAUUAAAGUUUGGUGAUGAUCCAACAGUCAGAUCGUCGAUUCAUAUAUUUACCAAGUAAUGUAGAGGAUUUAGAUUCCAAUAAUCAACCUACGUCACACAAUUACAAAAACUGAGCUCAAGGCAUAUAAUUAGCCUAAGAAUAACAUCGAUGGCCCCCUGGCCAUGCACCGUCGUUCCAGCCGCCGCGGGUGGCGGUCGGCUGUCCCGGCUCGUCGGAAAACUCAACUAUUUCUAAAAAUUCUCAAAAAUUACAGAAAUGAAGAUCUCAAAGAGUAUAUAGCAAACUUUAUACCUGUGACCAAGUCCAAUUUGGCCUGGAAAGGCUCCAAAUUGCCUCGAAUCCGCUGGAAACCCUAGAAAUGGGUGUUCUUGAUUCAUCCCCAAUUUGACUCUGAUACUCCAACCAAUGAUUGGGCAUUGUUCUAUGCUUCAAGGGAAGUCUACUGGUGGUGGAAUUUGGAAGAAAUUGCUUCAGAAAUGGGAGAAUCGACACAAGACUUGUCGGUGUCAGCUUCGCCAAAUGUCACAGAUUUGAUCCAAUUUUCAUCGAAUCUUGAUAGAAGAAUGAAGGGGAAGAGGUAUGGUGAUGAUUGCUGGUGGAAAUGGGAUGAAAUUAGCCUGAAAAAUAGUUCAAAACUGCCAGAAUUCCAUCGGUUUCGAAACCGAGUUGGGUGCAGGUGAAUGGGUUACCGAAAGGGUUCAGGUUGGGUGCUCUGCACCUUUCUCCUUUGUCUCGUCUCUCUUCCUUCCCAUUGGUCCGUCUCUCUCCCCUCUUCUCCUAACUGGUCCGUCUCCCUCAACUCUGAUUGGGCAGCCAAUGCCUUGAUUUCUUUCUUCUCUUCCAUUUCUCCUUCUUCCUCCAUCAAAUAACCUUCUUUUUUUAAAAUGGUUUGAAUGCACGGAUAUAAAGAAAGACAUAAGAUAGUAAUAUACCCGCUUUGGAUCGCUAUAGAAAUAUUUCGUACGUCUCACUAAACGUUGGUCCACGAAAGUCAAUACCCUCACAUCUAGGGUAUUCUCGUGAAUUCACAUUUUAAGAUUUAUAAAAUAGUAAAAUUUGGGACGGGUUGUCACACCUAAACUGCCCUCAUAAACUCAAUUCAAUAUGUAAAUUUAUCUUUACACCCAUACUACUAACUUGUUGAAUUUGUCUUCUUUCUUGUGAAUUUGUGAUAACUUUUUCUCUUACAGAAUAACCAAAUCAAUAUGAUUUAGAUUCUGAUUUAUGCAUUCCCUGAUUUUGGUUUUUACUGAGUUUGAUUUCGAGACUUCAAGGUCAAAGGCUACUUGCAAUUUUUCUUUAAUCUUGUUAUAUUUCGCAUUUGUUAGAAAACAUCAGUUGCAAUUUUGUUUGACAGGUUUAUAUAUACAAGUUUAGGUAUGGGAUUGAUGUCUGGCCCAUCACCCUUUGCGGUCAUAUUGUUGCCAAUUCCAUCAGCAAUUUUACUCUCUUCAUUGUGUCCUUUUGGAUGAUUACAACUUUUAUAUCAAUAUUCGGCUUCAAAUCUUUGUUACAAUGUUAAAAAAAAGGGUAAAAGACUGUUUACCACCCUCAUGUUUCGUGGUUUUCAACAUUUAGUACAUCAAGUUUUUUUCGUCCCAGAGUCAUACCUAAAGUGUAAAUUUUGGGACAGUCUCAUACAUCUGUUAGUCAAACUGUUAGUUCUCCCGUUAAGUGAUGAUGUGGCAUCCUGAUUGGACGCCACGUGUCAUUAAAAAAAUAAAAAAUUUAUUUAAAUAAAAAUAAAAUAAAAAAGUUAUUUAAAUAAAAAUAAUAUUAAAUAAUAUUUAAAUAAUAAAAUAUUAAAAUAAUAAUAAAAUAUAUAUUUUUUCUUCUUCUCUUCUUCUUCUUCUUCUUCUUCUUUUUUUUCUUCUUCUUCUUCUUCUUCUUCUUCUUCUGGGUUCGGUUUCUUUUUUUUUUUUUUUUUUUCCUUCUUCCUCAUCCUCCUCCUUCUUCUUCCUUCUCCUUCCUCCUCCUUCUUCUUCUCCUUCUUCUUCUUCUUCUGGGUUCGGUUCUCUCUUUUUUUUUUUCUUUUUUUUCUUCUUCUUCUUCUUCCUCCUCUUUCUCCUUCUUCUUCUUCCUCCUCUUUCUCCUUCUUCUUCCUUCUCUUUCCUUCUUCUUCUUCUUCUUCUUCUUCUUCUUCUGGGUUCGGUUUCUCUUCCUCCUCCUUCUCCUUCUUCUUCCUUCUCCUUCCUCCUCCUUCUCCUUCUUCUUCCUUCUCCUUCCUCCUCCUUCUUCUUCUCCUUCUUCUUCUUCCUUCUCCUUCUUCUUCUUCCUUCUCCUUCCUCCUCAUUCUUCUUCUCCUUCUUCUUCCUUCUUCUUCCUCUUCUUUUCUGGGUUCGGUUUUUUUUUUUUUUUUUUUUCUGUUUUUUUCCUUCUCCUCCUUCCUUCUUAAGAAGGAAGAAGAAGGAGAAGAAGGAGGAGGAAGGAGAAGAAGGAGGAGGAGGAAGAAGGAAAAAAAAAAAAAAGAAAAAAAGAAAAAAAAGAGAGAACCGAACCCAGAAGAAGAAGAAGAAGAAGAAGAAGAAGAAGAAGAAAAUAAGAAGGAAAAAAAAAUAUUUUAUUAUUAUUUUAUUAUUUAAAUAUUUAUUUAAAUAUUUUUUAAUAUUAUUUUUAUUUAAAUAAUUUUUUUUAUUUUUUUAAUGACACGUGGCGUCCAAUCAGGACGCCACAUCAUCACUUAACGGGAGAACUAACAGUUUGACUAACAGAUGUAUGAGACUAUCCCAAAAUUUACACUUUAGGUAUGAUUCUGGGACGAAAAAAACUUGAUGUACUAAAUGUUGAAAACCACGAAACAUGAGGGUGGUAAACAGUCUUUUACCCUAAAAAAAAAACUUGGCCGGUGAUUUUCACACUUGAUUGAAUCUCUUGCACUCCUCCCUUUGAUGUUAAAAAAAAAACACUUAGGCCUCGUUUGGCAGCUCGGACUGUACUGACUAUUUCUGUCGGAUAGGAUAAAUAGCCACCGGAUAGUACUGACUAAAUUAGUCGGGCGUUUGGUGCAGUUUCGGACUAAUAACCGUAUUAUUUAUACUGUGUUUGGUAUUAUACCGGAUAGGAGGAAUCAAACUUAAAAUAAAAUUAAAAAAAAAAAACGGAAAUCCUUUCUUCUGUUCCCAGAUCUCUCCGCCGCAAACCCCCCCAAAAUCCCUCCCUCUCUAUCCUUUCUUCUUCUUCCCCGUCUGCUCCCUGAACGAAACCCCACCACAAAGGCAGCAACAAGAAACCCAGCAAAACCCACCUUUCAAAUUCUCAUCGUUUUUUUCCCAAUCCUUUUUUUUUUUUUUAGCUACAAAUCAGCCCAGCAAAAGUACUAAGGAGGACUGGGUUCGCUGGAAGAACUGAGGAGGAAGAAGAAGAAGAAUAUGAUGGAAUUUGAACCAUAACCAUUUAGUACAAUGAUAUAGUAUUAUUUUGAAUUCAGCGAACCAUAACCAUUUAGCUACAAUCGGGUUCUUCUUCUUCUUUCUUCCCUGUAUUCUUCUUCUUCUUCUUCAAAUCUUUGAAUUUCCCAAUCCUUCUCUUUCUUCCCGUAUUCUUCUUCUUCUUCUUCAAAUUCCAUCGUUUUUUUUUUUAGUUUCUGCUUUGCAGGUUCGCCGACUAAGGAAUUGGGUUUUGGGAUUUGUGGGAAGGAGGGGGAAGAAUAAAGGGAGGGGAAACGAAGAAGAAGAUGUUCACCUCUGUUGACUGCGUGGUGGUGGGCGGUGGAAUCAGUGGGCUCUACGUCGCUCAGGUGCUGGCUACCAAGCACGGCGACGCUGUUCUGAUUGUCAUAGUCACGAAGGCUAAGGACCAGGUGGGAGGCAACAUCAUCAUCAUCGAGAAGGACGGCUAUGCUAGAGCAGAAACAUGGCUGCGUUUGGAGAGGAAGGACCCGACUAAACUGUCCCAUGGUUUUGGAGAGGAUAAACAAGUGGGUGUUUACCGUAUAAAGUAGGUGGGACCAGAUUGUUUAAUCCGUUGGCUAUUUAAUACAAUUGGACACCAAACACCGUACUCCGUAUUAUUAGUACUAUCCGAUGUCUUAUACGGUGUGCCAAACGGGGCCUUAAAGAUGAUUGACAAAAUUGCUAUUCAAAAGUUUCUGUUAUUUUUUUUCCUUUAACUUUUUACCACAUUUUAGCAAUAACCCAUAAUUUUUCUAUGGGUGCCUAUGCUCUUUGCCAUUUGAAUUUAGUUUUAUGAAUAUUUACAUAAAUAUCAUCAAUCUGGUUUGUGCUUGACCAAUUUUAACUAGUACAUAAUCUACAUCUUAUGUCUCCUUUGCCUUAACGUUGGAGUGAUUGCCUCAAUUUUCUAUAGGAUGGACUGGGAAGUCCACUACUACAAUAUUAGCUUUAGAUAGUGGAUGAUGGUGGCGGAUUUAGAAAAAUAAUGUCGGAUAAAUUAUAUCUGACAAAUCAUUUAAUUAGUGAUGGAUAUUAGAAAAAUCUUGUUGGUUAUAUUCAACAUAAAUUCCUGACGGAUAAUUACUAAUGGAUAUUAUAAAACUCAUGUCGGUUAUAACCGACAGUAUUUUUGAAUUUAAAAAAAAAAUAUUUUUGACAGAUUCUGGCGGUUUUUAAGUUACUGGUGGCGGUUUUUAGGUUAACGGUGGCGUUUAUAACCGACAACAAUUGAUUAUUUUAUUAUUUUAGUAUUCUGGCGGUUAUUAUUUUAGUAUUGUGUUGGUUAUAAUUGAUAAAAAUUCACUUUACACCAAACACUUUUCAAUUUGUUGUUCUUUCAGAUUUCGUUUUCUUCCUCAUCUUCAUUUUACUCGUUUUCUCUUCAUCUUCAAUCUAUCUCUUCUUCUCCCCUUAAUUUGUAAGUUUUUCAAUUCUUUUGCUUCAUAUUUUAAAAUGUUAUAUUGAUUAUAAAUAAAUCAACAAAUGGUUUAAAUAUUUUUUUUUCACAUACGGUCCCGUUACCUAAUCUCUGAAUGUUUUUUUUUUUUUUGUGAUUUUUUACACAUGCUAUAUCGGAGUAUAUACAAACAUAUUUGACGGUUGGAUCGUUGAAACUAGUUUCGUAGAAUGCAUAUCCUAUCAAAUUGAUAGAUUUAACAAACACUUAAGAGUUAAUGUUAUACUUCCAUUAAGUAUAAAAGAUUAUCCACUAGUGUAAAUAUUUUAAAUUGAAGAUCAAAUUCGUUCAAUGCAUUCUAAUAGGGUCGAGGAGUGUAGCUGUAAAAAAUCAACAAAAUCAUAGCUAAAAUAACCGUUAAAUUGUGAUUUUUCAUUUAUAACUGUCGAAAACUUUUGUUUUGUUACAUAAUCUCUGAAUGUUUGUUUUUCGUGAUUUUUAAGAUAUACAAUCUCGGAGUGUGUACAAACAAGUUUGACGGUUAGAUCAUUGAAAAAAGUUUCGCAGAAUGUGUAUCACGUCAAAAUGGUAGAUUAAAUAACUUAAGAGUUAAUGUUAUACUUCCAUUAAGUAUAAAAUAAGAUUUUGUGGUAUCCACUAAUGUAAAUAUUUUAAAUUGAAGAUCAAAUUUAUUCAUUGCAUUGUUAUAGGGUCGAGGAGUGUAGCUGUAAAAAAUAAUUAAAAUUGGAGCUAAAAUAACCGUUAAAUUGUGAUUUUUAGUUUAUAAUCGUCGAAAACUUUUGUUCUAUUACCUAAUCUCUGAAUGUUUGUUUUCUGUGAUUUUUUAGAUAUGCGAUCUCGGAGUGUGUACAAACAAGUUUGACGGUUAGAUCAUUGAAAAAAGUUUCGUAGAAUGUGUAUCGCGUCAAAACGGUAGAUUAAAUAAACACUUAAGAGUUAAUGUUAUACUUCCAUUAAGUAUAAAAUAAGAUUUUGUGGUAUCCACUAGUGUAAAUAUUUUAAAUUGAAGAUCAAAUUUAUUCAUUGCAUUCUUAUAGGGUCGAGGAGUGUAGUUGUAAAAAAUAAUUAAAAUCGGAGCUAAAAUAAACCGUUAAAUUGUGAUUUUUCAUUUAUAACCGUCGAAAACUUUUGUUAUGUUACCUAAUCUUUGAAUGUUUGUUUUUUGUGAUUUUUUACGUAUGCCAUCUCAGAGUGUGUACAAAUAAGUUUGAUGGUUGGAUCGCUGAAAAAAGUUUCGUAGGAUGCAUAUCGCGUCAAAAUGGUAGAUUAAACAAAUACUUAGAGUUAAUAUUAUACUUCCAUUAAGUAUAAAAUAAGAUUUUAUGGUAUCCACUACUGUAAAUAUUUUAAAUUGAAGAUCAAAUUUAUUCAUUAUAUUCUUAUAGGGUCAAGGAGUGUAACUAAAAAAAAUCAUCAAAAUCGGACCUAAAAUAACCAUUAAAUUGUGAUUUUUCGUUUAUAACCGUUGAAAACUUUUGUUAUGAUACCUAAUCUCUGAAUGUUUAUUUUUUGUGAUUUUUUACGUAUGCAAUCUCAGAGUGUGUACAAAUAAGUUUGACGGUUGGAUCGUUGAAAAAAGUUUCGUAAGAUGCAUAUCGCGUCAAAACGGUAGAUUAAACAAACACUUUGAGUUAGUAUUAUACUUCCAUUAAGUAUAAAAUAAGAUUUUGUGGUAUCCACUAGUGUAAAUAUUUUAAAUUGAAGAUCAAAUUUAUUCAUUGCAUUCUUAUAAGGUCGAGGAGUGUUGCUGUAAAACAUCAUUAAAAUCGAAGCUAAAAUAACCGUUAAAUUGUGAUUUUUCAUUCAUAACCGUAAAAAACUUUUGUUUUGUUACCUAAUAUCUGAAUGUUUUUUUUUGCGAUUUUUUACGUAUGCGAUCUUGUAGUAUCUACAAACAAGUUUGACGGUUAGAUCAUGGAAUCUAUUUUCGCAGAAUGCAUAUCUCCGUUAAAUUUGCCUAAAUUUUGAAGUGGGAAAAGUAAUUUGUGUUAAAUUUUUAUUUAUGUUUUUCAAGUAUUGAUUAGACAAUAUUUAGUUUGUGUGAUGACAUUUUCAUUGUACAAUUCUCUUUUUGUUUCUUUAUCGCAUAUUUUACAUAGGUUAUUAUCUAUUAAACCAAAAGUGUAAAAAUUAUCUAUUAAACCAAACAAUUAUUUAUUUAAUUUUUAAAAACGUAUUCUAUUUAAAUACAUAUUAUUUAUUUAUUUACUAAACCAAACAAUUAUUAUUUUAUUUUUUUAAAUCGUAACAAAAUUUUGGGGGGGGGAAUUUAAAAUUUUCGGAGGGAAUUUUGGGGGGAUUUUUGCCGUCAUUUUGUUUCUGUCGGUUAUAACCGACAGUAAUGAAACUUUUAUGUCCGUUUUUAUUUUAAAAAAACAAAAUUUGUCAAUUUUAACCGACAGUAAUGACAAUAUUUCAAAAUAAAACCCCUCCAUCUCUUUCCUUGCGCCGAUGCUUCUCCCUUCCCCCUUUUUUCUUCUCUUCAUUUCCUUCUCCUUCUUGCUUCAAUCACCAUGGAUGAACCAGGCAAAAGCUAUGCAAUCCCUUGAGCACAGAGACAAGCAAAGCGCUGUAAGUCCUUCCACAUGCUUCCACCUAUGAUUUAAUUCAUGUUUUACAUGUUGGUAAUGUUAUUCUCCCCCCCCCCCCCCACCACACACACGCGCAUUUGUAAAUUUGUUCAAGUUGGGUUUUCAUCCAUUGUCCAUAUAUGAAUGAACAAGUUGAAGAAAUGAGAAUUUCCCCAUUUGUUCAAAUGCCCAAUCAAUGUAGACUUGUUCAAAAAUCCAAUCACUCUCUGCACAGGCCAAACCUACGACAAGGCGAGCAUCGAAAAAUGGCUUUCCUCAGGUAAUCUCUCAUGUCCUGUCACAAUGCAGAAGCUUCACAAUCCAUCCAUGGUGCCAAAUCAUACUCUUCGCCAUUUCAUCAAUCAGUGGACGAAGAUGGUUAACCAAUUUGAUCCUCAUUGCUUUGUAUUUUCAGGAUGAACUGUAGGAAGUGAAGAAUAUGGUGUACCUUAUUAGCUCAUUGUUGCAGAAUCUGGUUCAAGCAUGUUGGGUCAUUCCGAGCAGAAGAAGAAUGACGAGGAGAAGGAGAAGGGAUAAUGUUGCAUGUCACUUUUAUAUAUAUUUUUUUUAUUCAUCUAUUUGUUGUCGGUUUUAUCCGACAGAGAAUGGUCUUAUUUAUUAUUAAUAAAUUUCAUGUCGGUUAUAACCGACACAAGUUCUGUCUGUUUUUAUAUUUUUUUGUCGGUUUUAUCCGAUAGAAAAUGGUCUUAUUUAUUAUUAAUAUAUUCCUUGUCGGUUAUAACCGACACAAGUUCUGUCGGUUUUUAUAUUUUCUGUCGGUUUUAUCGGACAUAAAAUGCUAUUAUUUAUUCUUUAUUAAUUUAUUCUCUGUCGGUUAUAUCCGACACAAUUUAUGUCGGUUUUAGAUGGGUGAUAGUAAUAAUUUGAUUAUUAGAUGUGGGUUUAUUGAUAAAAUUUAGUUUUAUUGUUAAUUACAUCUUGUAUUUUAUAGUAAUUAUGUAAUAUGUAAAAAAUGACACUUCAUAAUUAUAAUUAAAAUUUAAGUUGGGUGUAGAAAUAAUUUAUAUGACUUCAAAUAAAAUUUCUCUUUUUGUUUUUCAAUUAAACCCUUUUAGGAAAAAGGGAACAAUACCAAUGUUUUUUUUUUUCGGUUUUGGCUUUGAGAGAAAGGGUAAAUUUGGGGAUCCAAAAUAUUUGCUUGUGGGGCUUUCCAUCUAAGCAAAAGAGAGAAGGGUAAAUUUGUCCAAUUGUUUAGUCAUCUUCCCCGUCAAAAAGCAAAAGUCCAAUUUUUAAGAAUAGGCAAGGAAGAAAAAAUCGAUAAUAUCGGCGAAAUAUCGCCGAUAUUAUCGGUUUUUUGAAAUUCCGAAUUUUUUUUAACUAUCCAACCUAUUUUCGUUAAAAUAUCGCGAUAUUAUCAAUAAUAUCGAAAAUAUCACGAUAUUUUCGAAAUUAUCGAUAAUAUCGCAAUAUUUUAUUAAAAAAAUACUUAAAUAUAUUAAGUAAACUCAACACAUACUUCACUUGAUCAUGGC